GCAAGGGUCGACAGUCAGGCUGCAAAUUGGUGCGCGGGUUACUUUCUACUGGGUUCAAAACUUCAAUUCUUUUAGUUACCAUAACACUGUCGUUUGGAGCUCAGCAGCAAAACACUUUUUCUCGCCGCUGUAUAGCUUCAACUUUAUCCUUUCUCUGCAGUCAAACUUUUAAAGCACUCUCUACCAGGCAAACAAGCCAGCUAAAACCUAAAACCAGCCAAACACUAGACCCAAAUCCCAACAGAUUAACACUGUCGCCACCGCCUUCUCCUUUUCUUCGUCGAUUGAAACCCAGCUGCAACCCGGCCCUCCACGAGACGUCGCCACUACUUCGUGCUGCCGUAGCUGACGCCAAAACCAAAACAGCAGCCUUGCCCGAUUCCUUUUUGUCCUCUUUAUACCCGAAAUCCAGCAGAAAAAUCUUUGGCCAAUUUCUGUUUCUUUGCAAUUUCGGGCUGGUAAUUGGGUUGUUUGUGAUGCUGAAUUUGCUUGAAUGUUCACCUUCUGUUUGAUGAUUGUUUGAUCUUGCUUUUUUUGCAUGUUGGCUGGAAAUUGAAUUCGGGUUUUCUGAAUUUGUAAAAUUUCUAAUAUUGGUUAGUUUCAGUUUGAAGCUACUGGGUAUGGGUUUGAAUUUUUGGGUAGGGAUUUCUCGAUUCUCUAGGUUGUUGCUAUUUGGGUUCCUGGAAUCUGGUUUUCUGGGUUAGUUGAAUUUUAUUGAGUUGAUUAUCUGAGUUGAGGCUCGUUGGGGAUUUUGAUUUUGGAGGAGUGUAUGGGCAAAGGUAGAUGAUGGGUGUGACCGGUUGCUGGUCUUCUUGCUUGUCAUCCUUUUGUUAUCUCCAAAGACUUUGCUUGAAAUUGCUUUUCUGUCGCUACUGUUGAUUGUUUUUAUUUUCUUUUAAAUCCCCUGCUGGAUUGCUGUUGACUUCUGUUUUGGCCUCAUUUCUGGAUUUCUUUUUUGUUGCUCUACUACUUCUUCGAUUUAUUUUUGUCUCUGGCCUUUGCUCGUGACUCUGUUUGUUGGUUUCGGGUUUACUUGUUUUUUCAAUUUUCCUGGAUUUAUUGAUGAACCAAAGCUUCUAACGUUUAGGGCUGGGUUUGUUUCAUGGAUUUUCUGUGUAUCUUUUCCACUGUCCUGCCGAUGGCCUCUCUGUUUAUAGGGAUUGAAUCCCUUUUAAUUUGGGGAAAAAAAUCAAUCGAAUGAAUGUGUUUUGAUUUCUGGUGAUUUGAUUUUGCAUGAAUUGAGCCCAAAAUCAUCAAAUUAUGAAUUUCCAAAUUUGGUCCAAGAUCUGUAUCUAUAAGUUUCCUCUUACUCAAUAAUCCCAUCUUUUCCCUAAUUUCUUUUUUUUUUUUUAUACUUUUUUUUGAACUUUGAACUUUUUUUUUACUUUUUAACCUUUUGAAAAAAAGUAACAUUAAAUCAAAAAUUAAAUUAAAUUAAAUCAAAUUAAAAAAUUUCUGUUGGUUUUAAAGUUUCACGAUCAAACCUAACUUACGAUUGAAGGUUUGCUGUGAUUUCGAAAUUUUUUUUAAACAAAAUAAGAUAUUUAUAGUUAUUUUUUUGUAAAUUUUUUGUGAAACAAAAAUAACAAUAAGAUAUAGAUCUUGUAACGAUUUUGAGGAUUGUUAAACGAAUUUGAAAAAUAAAAAAAAUGGAGUUGCUAUUAAUUUUUUUAGUUAAGUAUGAUUGGUCACUUAUUAAAAUUUAUUUUUUUAAUAAAAUUUUAAAAUUUAUUAAAAAGAUAAUUUUUAGUUUGCAAAAAUAAUUUGAGUUCGAGAAUCAAUUACAUGUGAAGAAAGAUUAGCAUUUUUACAAUUUUUGUUUUAAAAUGAUAUCAAUUAAUUAUGUAUUAUCUUUUAAUAUUGACUAAAACAGUUUUAAUUUUGGUAUUGAAAAAUUUAAUUUCUUUAAAACGUAUUUUUGAUUUUUCAGUAAGUUUGAAAAUAAAUAAGAAUUUUAUAUUGAAAUUUUUUAAAAAUAUUUUAAUAUUAUGAUAAUAUUAAAAGAAAUUAUCUCAUCUAAAAAUUUUUUAAAAAUUGUUAUUUGGAAUUUUUUAAAAUACUAUCAUUGAUGGUUUAUAUUUAUUUUCAUAUGAUAUUUAUAAUUUUAAAAACAAAUAGUAUUUUCUUAAAAAAUUUAUUGUUAUGCCAUUUAUAAAAAAAUGAUAAAUCUUUAUUGAAAUUUAUCUAAAUUUUUUAAUACAUUGGUGGUAUUUUAGAUAAAUUUUUUUACCUAAAGAUUUUUAAAGAAUCACUAUUCGAAUUUCUUUAAAAUUUUAUUUUCGAGAUUUUUUGUUUGUUUUUUUAUAAAAAUUAUUAAAGUCAUGUAAUAAUACAAUUAUCUAUAAAUACAUUUAUUCUUAAAAACAUAUUUUUAUUUAUUAAGAAAAAUUGUUCAAAUAAAAGAAAAUAAUUAAGAAAUGAAAAUUUUUAUAUUAAAAAGAAAUUUAUAAAUAUUUUAAUACUUUGAUAAUUUUUAGAAGAUUUUUUUCACUUAAGGAAUUUUUUGGAAUUACUAUUUGAAUUUUUUUAGAAUCUCAUCCUCAAAAAAAUAUGUAAUAAUAUUAUUAUUUAUGAACAAAUUUAUCUCUAAAAAUGUAUAUUUUCAAUAAAAAAUUACUUAAAUUAAAUAUAAUGAUAAAAUGAAAAUAUUUUGUAUUGAAAAGAAUUUUUUAAAUAUUUUAAUACUUUGAUAAUUUUUAGAAGGUUUGUCUCACUUAGAGAAUUUUUGAGAACCACUAUUUGAACUUUAUGAGAUUUUAUCAUCAUAAAUUUUAUUUACAUUUAAAAUUAUAUACUGCAAAUAAUCAAGUAGAAUAUGUAUACGAAGAACAUAUAUUGAUUAUGUUUUAAUCUUUUUUAUUUUUUUUUUCAAUUAUAUCUAAAAAUUGAAAAGAACAAAGUAAAUAAAAUUCUUAUUGAAAAUUUUUUUAGAUACCUCGAUACUUGGAUGAUAUUUUAGAAAAAAUUUUUCACUUAAGGAUUUUUGAAGAAUCUAUACUCAGAUUUAUUUAGAAUAUCAUUUUUGAAAAUUUCAUUGACUUUUUCUUUUUUUACUUAAUUAAUACUCUAAUUCUAAUAUUUAGUUUUGAUUAAAAUUUGUAAUAAAUAAAAUUAGUUGACCACAAUAUUAAUCAUCACAUAUUAUUUUCAAUUUACAAUAAUCUUAGAAAAAUAUAUAAACAAAAUUUUUUUGUAUUAAAUAUUUUCUUAAAUAUUUCAUUACUUUGGUUAUAUUUUUAGAAAAAUAUUUUCAUUUAGCGACUUUAAAGAAUCAUUACUCAAAAUUUUUUAAUAUUUCAUCAUCGGAUUAAAAAUUUUCUUUAUCCUUAUUAUUUUUUUAUAUUUUGUGAACAAUUACUAAGUAAUAAGCAUGAAAACCUUGCGUUUUUCUUCAUCUACAAGUGUAUUUUAAUAAGUAACUAUGGAUUCUCAAAAACAAACAAAAAAUACAAGGUAAUUAUUUGCAAAAUUUGAACAAAAUGAUAUGGAAACAACCCCCACCAAAUAGUACAUUCAUAUGGAAGAAAAAAGAAAUAUAAAUGACAUGCAAGUGAUGAAAAUGGAAGCUUCUAAACUCUCAUAAAAUCAUAGUAAAAUAACAUGAAAUUAAAUUAAAAUAACAAGUAAAUAGUAACCAAAACAAGCUCAAUAAACAAUAUAAAUAUAAAUAAGGGUUGGGCAAAAAAAAAAAAAAAAAAGCAAGUAGAACCAUAGUUAAGUGGCAAAAACAAAAAUCAAACAUUCAAGAGUCAAGCUAUUUUAAUGCCCAAUGAUGAACAAGAGUCUAUCCACUCAUCAAAAGUUAUACUUUUCAACAAGAAAUAAGCUCAAAGCAAAGUAAUUUAAACUUGAAAAAAAAAAAAAAACUAAGCUGAAUUGAAAACAUGAAAUUUCAUUGAUUAAGAUAUAGUAAACAAAGCUUAAAUGAAGAAUAAAAUGCAAGUGUUAGAAAAAUAAAAUAAAAUUGGAAUUAAAAGCAAUAAAAUGAAGACGAAAACAACUAAAAUGGAGUCAAGAAACCAAAGCAAAGUCAGCAAGAAUGUUACCUGUUAUGGUGUCAUUUACAAAGAAGAACAAAAAAUGCAAAAAUGAAAAAAUAACCACAAGUUUCAACUCUCCUUUUUUUGGCAAACCUUCUCCCUUUUUUAAGUCCUGCCCUCUCCUUUCCACUGCCUCUUCAUUAUUCUUUCGCAGACCUUCUCCCUAGUUAUUCGGCCAACUCCUCUCUUUUUCUCUUUUUUUCCUUUCUUUCUUCUCUAUUUGACUUUUUUUUUCAACAGUUUCUUUUUCUUUUUUUUACAUGUUUGGCUCUUUUCCAGCCUUCCUCUUCCCCUCUUCCCUUUGACCGAACCCUUUCUUCCAUUUUAAUAGUCAGCAUUCAAAAAAAAUCUCAUUUUUGAUGAAUAUAGAGCUUUGGAUGAAAUCUCAUCCAAAGGUCAAAACUUGUCUUUUUGUUCUUUUUAAGGAACUAUCUUUGGUCAUAGGAUCAAGAUUAAUAAAAGAUGUAAUGAUCUAUAUUAUUAACUGCAAAUGUUGGAUUUUUAUAUCCAAACACAUGAAAAGAUUAUUUUACCCAUAGUACAAAGUUUUUAGUAUUUAUGUUAUUUUCUUAUAAAUCAAUGUUUUCAUGCUCAUUUUUGAGAUUUUAAAACACCAAAAAUUAUGAAAUAUUAUAAAAUUGAGAUCUGAAAAGUUUCAUGAAAAUCCAAGCUCAGAAAGAUUAAAUUACGAAAAUACCCCUAUAGGGUUAUUUUGGUAAUUUCACACUUCUUGAGGUACGGUUGUGAUUUUAAAUGCAACAAAAUCAUGAAAUAUUAUGAAAUUAAAAUUUAAAAGUUUUAUGAAAACCCAACCAUGGGAAGGUUAAAUUACGAAAAUAUCUUUUAUAGGUGUAUUUUGGUAAUUUUAUAUUUCUCUCAGUGCAACAAAAAUUUUUAGUGUUUUUAAAAAUCACCAAAUUUUAUUUUAAACCACAUUGAUUUCAAUUAGGCUUUGAACUUUGAAGAUUAACCCUAGUUCUAAUUUUUUUGGAUCAAGUUUUGUGUAAUUUUGACUUGAGUUGAAUUUAGGGUUUACUCGUUUCAUCUAUUUUUUUAUUUUUCAUACAUUCAUGUGAAAAAGGGUAUCAUCCAUAUAAAUUCCAUGUGAAAGAGUUUGGCAGUAAUCAUACGAGUUUCCUUUUUCUUUGUUUAUUAGGCCUAAAUAUUGAUAUAUUUUAUGGAAGGGGCAUUUUUAAAGGUUUCAAAUGAGCUUUGUUCAAACAUGCUAAAGUAUUUCGAACAAGAUUCGAUGUCUACAGUUGUCCUUCUUGUAUAUUUUUGAGAAUAAAAAAUAAUACAAUGAUAUAGACAAUAAUUUUGUCCGAAUCAUGCUUCUAAGAGAUUUUUUUUGUUUAUUGUUUUUUUUUUAAAUCUUGUUUGAAAAUUACUCAUCCUAAAUAGGCGCUUUGAAACUUUGGAAAUGGCUCCCCUAAUCAGAAGUUUUGAAACUUUAAAAAUGGCUCCCUAUAAACAGAGGUUUUGAAAUUUUAAAAAUUUAAAAGGUUUUACCUAGAGGGCAGAGAGAUUAUGUCCGAAGGUCUUACAAAUCUUAAAAAUCUUUUAAUGCUCUUCGAGGUGUUGAAACUUUGGAAAUUUAAAAUCUUUUACUCGAAGGUCUUGGAAAUUAUGCUUGAAAGUCUUAGAGAUUAUACCUGGAAGUUUUACAAAUCUCAAAAAUCUUCGAAUGUUUCUCAUAAUAGAGGAAUUGAAACUUUAAAAAUUUAAAAUCUUUUGCCCAAAGGUCUUGGAAAUUAUGCUCGAAGGUCUUAGAAAUUAUGCUUGAAGGUCUUAAAGAUUAUCCUUGGGGGUUUUACAAAUUUAAAAAAUCUUUGAAUGCUCAUCGUAAUAGAAGUGUCAAAACUUUAAAAGUUUUUAUUUGAAAAUGGCUUCCCUCUAAUUAGAGGUUUUGCAACGUAAGAGGUCUUGUUUGAAAAAAGUUCCUCCUAAACAGAGGCUUUGAAACUUUAAAAUCUUGUUUUUCUUUUCUCUUUUUUUUUUUUUAUUUUAAUUUGAAACUAGUGUGGAAAUGACUCAUGAUGUGAUGGCUAAAGAGUUUCACAAGUUGUGAUUAUUUCAAAAUCAUUUUUCAUACUUCAAUUUUUUAUUUAAAUGAUUCUUUCUUUCUUUUUUAAAUAAAGUUCAAAAUUUUUUGAAGAAUAUAUUAAAUGCAAUUUAUAAAUGCAAUAAAUGUAAUACAUGUAAUGUAAGUAUUAUUAAAAGCCAGUAUGACACAUCUAAAUUGUGGUAAUCAAGGUUCUUUAAGUCAAUCUUUUCUAAUUUUUAUUUCUUCCAAAACAACCAAUCUCAAUCCCAAUUUGCAUAUUCUAGGAAUUACUUUUUUGUGAACUACGAUGAUCAUUUGCUAAUAUCCUUAUCCAACACUACUUCCAACAAGUUUUUAAUUUGAUUUGAUGAACAUGUGUUUUUCCAAAUCUUCAUUUUUUGUAUUUUUUUUUGUUUUUUUUGGUUUUUUUUUUUACUUUGUUAUCCUUAAUUUUUACAAAAUAAUGUAAAACCUUUUACGAAUAUUAUCAAUCAUUUAUCGUAUUCCAAAUUUCAUGAAUAAUGUAAUGAAUUAGUGUUUCCUCUAUUUGAAAAAUGAAGAUUAUCAAAAGCAAGGUAAAUUAGAGAAAGUGAAUAUUUAUUUAUAGAAAGGUAUAAGGACGUGUCUAGUGGGAAGUUUGGACAUUAGUUUAAACAAAAGAAUUGUAUUCAAACAAUGAAUAUUCAAAUAAUCAUGAACAAUAUUUCAAAAUUUUUCCUCUUAAAAGCCCAUAUUAUUAAUGCACCUGAUCUUUUCGUAUUCAUUGUAUUGGACCUUGCCCUCUGUACUUGGAUACUUGAUUUGCAUCUAAGUCACCUUUUUAAGUUUUUAACUUAGAUCUUUCCUUUUGUCUCAAAUUGCCUUUUUGAGUUUUCACUUAUGAGUCUUCUUCAUUUUUUUUCUUUUUGUUUUUAUUUUUUUAUUUUCUUUAGUUUUGGUUUUUUUUUUCUCAGGCAAAGUAUUUUUUUACAACAUUCGAAUUUAUUGAGUUUGGCAAGUCAUCCCUAUCCAUUUUUUGCCAGGAUUAGUGGUUUCACCCAAAAGGCCUUUUUGACUACAUAUAAACCCUCCAAUUUGGCAUUCAUUUUCCUCGAUUAUCAUGCUGAAUCGAAAGAAUUUUCUUUAAAAUCAAUUCUCCUUUACGAAAAUGCCUACAUUGAACUCUUUUGUCAUGUGCUCGCGUCAUUUUUUUUUGUACAACUGAUCAUGAAAAAAGCUGUGAGCCUUUUCUCUUCAAUGAGGUUCAGUUGUUCGUAGCAAUUUCGGACCCAUUAUGCUUUCUCUAAUCUACUUCCAUUAAUAUCUUAAAAAAAAAAUCUCCACCUCGAUUGGUAGCACAAUUUUCAUCUCAUAUAUAAGCAAAAAAAGAGUGGCCCUAGUAGAUGUAUGCACUGAUAUCUUAUAAGCAUGUAGUGGAAAGGUAACUUUUUAUGUUAGUCUUUAUAAGUAUCAGUCAUUUUUUCUAUUAUCCUCUUGAUAUUUUUAUUAGCAACUUCAACUACUCCAUUCAUCUUUAGGUGAUAUGAAACUGAAUUAUGGUGCGUUAUUUUAAAUUUAGCACAAACAUAUGCUAACAUCUUGUUAUUUAAAUUACGAGCAUUGUUAAAAAUGAUCAUUUUGAAAGGUCAUAUCGACAUAUUAUCUCCUUUUUAUAAACUUGCAUACCGCUACCCUUGUCGCACUAGCAUAAGAAGCUACUUUGAUUCAUUUUGUGAAAUAGUUGAUCACUACAAAGAUGAAUUGAUGUCCAUUUGAAGCUUUUGGAGUGAUGGGUCUGAUUACUUCCAUCCCCUACAUAAAAAAUGGUCAUGUAGGUGUGAAAACAUGUAAAGGGAUUGGAGGAGCAUAAAUUUUAUCUGCAUAAAUUUGGCAUUUAUGGCUUUUUUUUUUGGCAUAGUUGAUACAAUCAUUCUCCAUUAUCAACCAAUAAUAGCUUGCCUUUAUGAUUUGUCUGGCCAUUAUGUGGCCAUUUGCAUGUGCUCCAUAAGUCCCUUCAUGCACUUCUUAGAGUAUUUUCUUGGCCUUAAUAGCAUUCACACAUCUUAAUAACAUUUGAUCCUGACUUUUCUUGUACAAAAUUUCUCCAUCAAGGAAUAAACCUAUAGCCAAUCUUCUAAUAAUUCAUUUGUCAUUUUUCGACGCAUGUUUUGGGUAUUGUUGGUACUUGACAUAUUGCAUGAUAUCAUCAUAGUACCAAGGUAAGCCAUCAAUCUCUUCUUCAACAAUUGAACAAUAUGCUGGUGAUCCUUGCACAUUUAAAUAGAUAGGUUGGAUUUUCAUCUUAUCACCCAUUUUAAACAUUGUAGCUAAUAUAGCUAGAGCAUCAACCAUUUGAUAAUCUUCUUGAGGUAUAUGACAAAAUUGGAUAUUUUCAAAUUAUUUGAUCAAAUCUACUACAUACUUUUGGUAUUGUAGCAAUUUUGAAUCUCUUGUUUCUCAUUCAUCACGUAGUUUAUAGAUUACCAAGGUCGAGUCUCCAUAGGCUUUUAACAUUUCAAUUUUCCUUUCAAUUGCCAUUUGUAGGCCCAUUAUGCAUGCUUUGUAUUCUGUCACAUUGUUGGUGCAAUUAAAAUCUAGCCUUGUAGUGCUUGAAUAAUAAUAUCCAUAAGGGGACAUCAAAAUUGCCCCAAUCUCAUACCCCAAAGCAUUCAAAGCUCCAUCAAAGAACAUUUUUCAUGGCUUUUAGAUUGGUUCCUUUUCUUCCACUUGGGAUAUGGUCAUUAAAUCUUCGUUAGAAAAGUUCAAUUUCAUAGGCUCAUAAUCAUUAGUUGCAUGCUCUACAAGGAAUUUAGCUAUCACACUUCUUUUGAUCGCUUUUUGUGACAUAUACAAUAUCAUAUUCAAAAAGCAUGACUUGCUAUUUUGCUCACGUUCUUGAAAAUGAUGGCUUUUAAAAAAUAUACUUAAGAGGAUCCAACAUUACUAUUAACUAAGUAGUAUGGUAUAGCAUAUAUUGCUUGAGUUUAUGGGCUAUCCAAGCCAAUGCACAUUGCAUUUUUUUUCAAUUGAGAAUAUUUAGACUUAUAUUCAGUGAACUUCUUACUUAAAUAAUAAGCAGCUUGCUCUUUUUUGCUCGUUUCAUCUUGUUACCCCAACACACAAUCUAUAGAACGAUCAUACACCGUGAGAUAUAAAAUCAAUGGUUUCCCUGUAGGUGGUACUAACGCUAGAAGAUUUGACAAGUAUUCUUUAAUCUUUUUAAAGGUAUACUGACAUUCCUCAUCCUAUUUUCUUGGAUUAUGUUUCUGAAGCAACUUGACAAUUGGGUUACAUUUAGAAGUAAGUUGAGAAAUAAGGCAGGAAAUGUAAUUCAGCCUUCCCAGAAAACCCCUUACUUCUUUUUGCGUAUGGGAGAUAAGUUUUGGAAGGUAAGUUUUUUAUUUGGAUCAACUUCAAUAUCCCUUUCACUAACUAUAAACCUUAACAAUUUUCUUGACUUAGUACCAAAUGUGCACUUUAUUAGGUAUAGCUUGAGUUGAUAUUUCUACGAUCUUUCAAACAAUUUUCUACAAUAUGUAACAUGGUCUUCUCCCUCAUGAGAUUUUGCAAUCAUGUCAUAUAUAUACAUCUUUAUUUCUUUAUCCAUCAUGUCAUGAAAAAGGGUUACCAUAACUUUUUGAUAACUAGCUCAUGCAUUUUUUAACCCAAAAGGGAUAACUUUAUAACAGAAUGUGCCUACAUGGUAACAAACAUAGUUUUUUCCAUAUCAGUAGGGCUAUUUUAAUUUGGUUAUAUCCAAAAAAACUAUCCAUGAAAGAGAAUGUGGAAUGUUUAAUAGUGUUAUCCACGAUAGUGUCAAUGUGGGGUAAAGAAAAACUGUUUUCAGGCUGACUUUAUUCAAAUCUCUAUAGCCUAUGCAUAUCUAAACUUUUUCAUCUUUCUCGGGAAUUAGAACCACAUUAGCUACCCAUUUCGGAUAUUUGGCUACCUCUAAAAAGCCUACAUCAAAUUGCUUUUUUGCUUUUUCUUUGAUUUUUAACAUGUCCAGCUUUAUGUGCCUCAAUUUUUGCCAUAUGAGUUUACAAUCUAGCUUCAAUGGCAAUUGAUGUUCAACAAUAUCUAAACUGAGUCCUAGCAUAUCUUGGUAUGACCAUGCAAACAUAUCAACAAACUCAUGUAACAAUUAUUUCAACCUCUCUCUUUUUGUGUGUGAAAAAAAUGUGCCCAUUUAAACUUCUUCUUAUUCUGCUCAUCACCUAAAUUAAUUAUACUUGUAGCUUUCGCAUGAGGUUCAAUUUGUUUCCUUUCUUGUUCUAUUAGUCUUAAUAAAUUAAGAGGUAAAUUUCUUCUUCUGAAUCCUCUUCAUUAUCGAGUUCAUUAAUGUGAAUAAGUUUUUAAAAGUCAAAUCUUGGAUUAUUGUCAUAAUUAUCUUUGUAUUCAUUAUUUGAAAACCUGAAAGUGGGUGAAAUUGAAAGGAUGUAGGCUUAUGUGUGGGGAAAAAAAGGAAAUUUUAACUUUGAAUGAAUGAAAAAAAUAUGGAAAUGCAAAUGCAAAACAUUAGUCAUUUUAUUGAAAUGAUAAAGGAAAGAUAAGCUCGUACAAAACUUUUUCAAAUGCUCUUAGGCAUAAGCAUUGGGAAAAAUUAACUCACUACAUUACUUUGUGAAAGAUUUAAGGAUAAUUGGCAACUUUAUUGAUUUCCAAUUGUUCAGCUUUUCACCCAGAAGACAUGGAUAAACACGAGGCUCAUUUUUCUGAUUGGAUGUUGCUGUAUCUCUCAUCAUAUAGAUAUGAAGUUCAGAAAAGGCUUCUUUUAUGUUUAACAUAGGUUCCUUUUGUGUGUCCUUCAGCAAAUUAUGGUGGAUAUAUCUGCCUAAGCGAAAUGUGUCAUAUAGGUAAGGGAUGAUCAUUCUUGCAUACUCAACUCAUGUCUCUUAAGUCAUGCCAGUUUUUUCUCUCUCUUUUUCAACCAUGUGUAAACACCAAAUUUUGUUCAAAACAUUUUUGCAUGGUUGAACAAAGCCCAUUUAAAACCAAUAAAAAGGUAUCUUCAAGAGUUCAUAAAAUACAUCGAUAUUUAGGUCUAAUGAUGUAUGAAAAAUAAAGAAUAAAUAAAACGGAUAAACCUACAAAGUCAACUUUGGUCAAAAUUAUACAAAACCUAGUCAAAAUGAAUAGAAUUUGGGUCAAUCCUUAAAAUUCACAACCUAAGUGGAAUCAAUGUGGUUUUAAAUUAAAUUGAUGAUUUUUAAAAUUCUAAAAUUUUUAUUGUACUAGGAAAAAUGUGAAAUUACCAAAAUAUCCCAAUAUGGGUAUUUUUGUAAUUUGGUUUUCUGAGCUUGAAUUUUCAUGAAAUUUUUAUAUCUUAAUUUAAAAAUAUUUCAUGAUUUUUGGUGCAUUUGAAAUCACAACUAUACCUUGAAAAGUGUAAAAUUAUCAAAAUACAUCUAUAAGAGUAUUUUUAUAAUUUAUCUUUUUCGAGCUCGAAUUUUCAUGAAACUGUUCACAUCUUAAUUUUGUAAUAUUUCAUGAUUUUUGGUGCAUUUGAAAUCAUAGAAAACCUCAAAAAAUGUAAAAUUAUUAAAAUACCAUUAUGUGGGUAUUUUCGUAAUUUGACCUUCAUGAGGUUGAUUUUCAUGAAACUUUUUAAAUUUAAAUUUUACAAUAUUUCAUCAUUUUUGUGUUUUAAAAUCUAAAAAAUGAGCAUGAAAAUCUUGAUUUCUAAGAAAAUAGCCUAAAUACCUAAAACUUUGCAUUAGAGAUAAACUGGUAUUUCAUGUGUUUUGAGGAUAUAAAAAUCCAAUCUUUGUAGUGAAAUAAUGUGAAUCAUUAGAUCUUUUAUUGAUCUUAAUCCAACUGUCAAAGGUGAUUCAUUGAAAGGAAUAAAAAGAUAACCUUUGACCCUUGGAUGAGUUUCAUCCAAGGGUUUAUAUUCAUCAAGAAUUAUAUUUUUUUUAGGAGCUGACUAUUAAAGGGGGCUGGGGGUUCAGUUAAAGGGGAAGAGAAGGAAGGCUAAAGUUCUAGAAAGGUGGGAAAAAAAAAGCCAAACAUUUAAAAAAAGAGGGAAAAACUGUUAAAAAAAAUGAAGAAGCCAAAUAGAAAAGAAGAAGGAGAAGGAGAAAAGAAAAAUGGGGGCUGCCAGAAGAAAGGGGCUUUUGAAAAAUGCUAGAGAUGAAGCUACCGAAGGAAGAAAAAAGAAGAAGCUACCAAAAGGAAAAGGGAUGAAGCUGUCAAAAGGGAAAGUGAGGAAGUACGCAAAGGUAGAAAAUGGUUUUAAGUUAGCUUUCUUUGUUCUUUCAUGCGACAUGAAUUAAUUAUUUAUUUUUGUUUUUUAGCUGUUGCAGUGUUUUCAUUUAUAUAACUUAUUGUUGACUAAAUUUGCUUCUUUUUCUUUACACAUCAUAUGCAUUUUCAGAUUGAUAUCAUGAAAGUUAUGGUCAACACAUUUCCAAGUUGAUUUAUUUGAUGUUAUGUUAUACUGGUUCAGUGAUCUUUAGAUAUUCAUUGAAUCUACUGGUUCUUAUGGUGUGAUGAAUAUCAUGGGAAGGCUAGAAUUUUUUUUUCUAUUUUGGUUUUUUAUUUGUUAAUAGUACUGUUUCACCUAACUCAAAGUCAUGUCUUAUUUUUCUUUUGGAUUGUUCACAACUUUACAAAGGUUUGACAAGAUGCUAAAAUUUUUACAAUAGGGCUUAUUUCCAUGUAUGUUUUAUAUCAUCAUUCAUAUUUCUCUAAUGUUGUUUCAAAUAUGAUUAUAAUUUAAAUCCCAUGCAUUUUUCUUUCAUCGCUAGUUUCGUUAAAUUUCUAUGUUCACUUUAAUUUUUAUGCAAUUUAGUUUUUACACCUUAAUUUAUUUUAAAUGCAAAUUUGUACUUCAUUUAUAAAAUAAUGAUAUGAAUGAAAUUAUAUGAGGAUGAUAUUUUAGAGAAAUCUGAGUAUGAUUCUCUAAAAUGUCUAGAGCGGGAUAUUUUUCUAAAAAUGCUACCAAAGUAAUAGUGUAUUUGGGAAAAUAUCCAAUACAAAAAAGUUUAAUUUGUCUAGUUUUCUAAAAUUUUUAUAGAGGUUAGUAAUAGUGUGUAAUGACUCUUUUAAUAAUGAAAUUGAUAUAAUUAAAGUUUAAAAAUUAGAAAAAAAAUUAUAAUUAAUUAAGAAAAGACAAAGUGAAUAAAAAUUUUCGAGGAUAGGAUAUUAAAGAAGUCCGAGUAUAGAUUCUUAAGAAAUCCCUAGGUAAGAAAAUUUUUUUAAAAUAUUACCAAAGUAUCGGGGUAUCUAGGAAAAUUUUCAGUAUAAAUUUUAUUUGCUUUGCUCAUUUCAAUUUUUAGUGCCAAUUGAAAACAAGUAAAGAGAAUUAAAACAUAAUUAAUAUAUGUUUUUGUAUGCAUAUUCUACUUGAUUGUUUGCAAUAUCUAAUUUUAAAUACAAAUGAAAUUUUUUAUGAUGGGACCUCAAGAAGUCUAAGUAGUGAUUUUCGAGAAUUUUUUAGGUGAGAAAAGUCUUCUAAAAAUUGCCAAAGUAUUGGAAUAUUUAGAAGUUUCUUUUUAAUACAAAAAAUUUUCAUUUUAUCAUUAUUCUUAAUUUGAUUAAUUUUUUAUGAAAAUAUACUUUUGGAAAUAAAUUUGUUUAUAGAUAAUGAUGUUAUUACAUGAUUUUAAAGUAAAAAAACUCUGAUGAUGAGGCUCUGGGAAGUUCGAGCAUUCUUGAGAAUUUUCUAGGUGAGAAAAAGUCUUUUAAAAAUUGUCAAAGUAUUGAAAUAUUUAGAAAAAUUUUUUUCAAUAGGAAAAAAUUUUCAUUUUAUGAUUAUUUUCUAUAAUUUGAAUAAUAUUUUUUUAAUAAAUAAGAGUGUUUUUAAGAAAUAAAUAUAUUUAUGGAUAAUUAUACUAUUUCAUGAUUUUAAAUAAAAAUAAAUAAAAAAUCUCCAAGGAUGAUAUCCUAAAGAAGUCUGCGUAGUGAUUCUUUUAUAAAUGGCAUAGAAAUGAGUUUUUUAAAAAAUGCUAUUUGUUUUUAAAAUUAUAGAUAUCAUAUUUUAGUGAAAUAAAUACGAACCAUUGGUGAUAGAAUUUUUGAGAAUUUCGAGUAAUAGUUCUUAAAAAUUUCUUAAGUGAGAUAGUUUCUUUUAAUAUUUUCAAAGUAUUGGAAUAUUAUUAAGAAUUUUUCAAUAUAAGGUUCUUAUCUAAUUUUCAAGCUCACUAAAAAUUAAAAAUAUGUUUUUAAAGAAAAUUAAGGAAAUUAAUUUUUUAAAUACCAAAAUUAAGACCAUUUUAGUCAUAAUUAAAGGAUAUCACAAAAUUAAUUGGCACCAUUUUAAACGAGCGUCGUGGAGGUGCUAAUCUUUUUCACGCGUAAUCGACUCUCGAACCUAAACUGUUUUUUUGCAGACCUAAAAAUUAUCUUUUUAAUAAAUAUUAAUUUUUAUUAAAAGGAUAAAUUUUAAUAGGUGGUCAAUCAGCCCUAGCCAAAAAAAAUUGGUGGCGACUCCAUUUCUUUUGUUUUUCCAAAUUCAUCUAACAGUCCCCAAAAUCAUUACGAAAGCUUGGUGACUCCACUGAGAACAUAAUUUUUUAGGGAGUCAGGCCAAAAAUUAAUAAUGUGUUAUCUUUAAUUUUGAUUUAAUGGUCUUAAUUGGUUUUUAACUUUAAUUUUCUUAAUUUUAAUUCUUUCUAAUAAUAAUAAUAACAGUGGUAAUAAUAAAAGGAAAAUGAAAAAUUACAUUUCACCCAUGUCAUUUAUUUAUUAUUUGCUCUUUUAUUUUAAGCUUCGUAUGUACUAUAAUUGUUAUUAUGAAGUGUUUAGAAUAAGAUUAUCAUACUUUGUUCCCUUGUUCACACAUGACACAUUCACAUCAUGGAUGAGCUCUAUGCCCAGGCUCCGACCCUUUUAAGAGGGAGUAAAGUAUCUAUGCUCUUAUAAGGUGAUAACCUCUGCAAUGAUAAGCAAAAUACUUCCACUAAAAUUGAACACUUUUCUUUUGUAGCCUGUAAUGGGUGAAGAUCAGGGUGCUUUACUAGUCAAGAAUGGAUGAAAAUAAGGAAUAAUUUGGAGACCUUUAGAUGAAAAUCAAUUCGAACCCAGCAUAUAGUAAACCAUAAGAGUCAAGCUGAGGUAGAGCCAUAUCCAUAUUUUUCAUAGACUGUUUCCAUGAAUUGGAAUAAAAUGGAGGAGCAUUUGUGUUAUGGUUUUUUUUUUUUUAAAGAAAAUCAUAAAUUUAGGCAUUCAUAUUUGUUUUGACUUAAAAAAAAUACAAUAAGAUCUUUGUCUUAUUUCCUUUUCCAAGAAAAAAUUUUCCUUUUGGUUCUUUUUUUUUUAAAGCUUUUACUUUUUAUUUUUCUUUUCCUCUCUCUUUCGUACUAACAACUUUUUUUUUUUUUUGCAUUAAUUAAAUAGGUAUGGUACAAUAAUAUAGUGAGGUAUUUGCUCCAAGACAUUUUUUAGCAAAGUUUUUUUUCAUGGAUCCCAUAGUAUUACAGAUCUGCUUUUCUUUUGUAAUUGCUUUGUGUAAAUUGUAUAAUGAGGUGCAUGAAUGGUCUACAAGAACUCAACAAAGGGAGGGAGAUUGUUUACCUAUUGGUUUCAUGUCAGGGUUACCAGAAAAAAUGCAUUUGAGUCUAAUCUAGAAUAACUUGAAAGAUUUGGCUACCAUAUGAAAUUAGAUGGGUGAAGUUAGGAAGGAAAAGUUUUGUGAAAGAUAUGGGCAGAUUGUAUUUCUUAUCUCAGUAAUGAUUGAGGAACAUUUUAUUCGAGCAGCUAUUCAGUUUUGAGACCUAUCGUACAUAUGUUUCAUAUUUAAUAAAGUGAAUUUAACAUCGAUCAUUGAAGAAUAUUCGAUUUUAGUAGGAUUGGAAUGGUAGUACCCUGAUAAGAUAUAUGACAGAAAACUAAAAUUAGGAUACCUUAAGAAGAUAGCUAAAUUGAUAGGAAUGAAGGUAGAGGUUGUGGAUGCUUUGACUAAAGACAAAGGUAAAUGUGUCGACUUACCUUGGCAUUUCUUUCGUGAUUUUAUCUUAGGACACUUAAAAGAUGAUUAAGGCAUGGCAAUGUUUUCCCUAGCAAUUUACAGUAUAAUGUUCUUUUCAAAAACUUUGGGAUAUAUUGAAUUGGUAGUAGUUGAUCUAUUUGAACAAAUAAAAAUUAGGCAAUUAAUCACAUUAUAGCUAUCCUAGCUAAGAUUAUCAGAUCAUUAAACUUUUGUCGUUAGAACAGAGUAUGUUUCACAGUGAGUGCACAGUUACCAUAUGUUUGGAUAAAAAGCCUUUUCAGAUGUAAGAAAAGUACUUUUUCCAAGCGGUAUCUUCAAAAUAGAGCCAUAGUCAAAGAAUUUUAUGAGUCAGUGGCCAACAUUGAAAUCUAAAAAAGAGUGGGCAGCAUUCAUUUAAAGGUUUAUUAAUGAUCAGGUCAAAUGGAUAGCAGCAUGGAUGCCUCAUGUGCCAAUGUUAUACUGGUGUGGAGAUGACCCAUGGGUAUUACUUUUGGGAUUGUGGGGAGUGGUAAGUUAGCACCAUUAAUGGUGUUAAGGCAAUUUGGUGUGAAGUUGUUUGUCCCUGCCACGCAUAGACUUACCCUAGUAGAAUUUGCUUAUGGAGAAGUAGGCUCAUUAAGAAUAGCAAAGUAGUUAGUUCAAGUAUGGAGAAGACUCGAAGGCUAAGAUUAGAACCUAUUCUUGACAAAGUCACCCCCGAUUACUUGAUUUGGAAAGCAAAAUGUUCUAAAGAUAUUGUGCUCUUUCCAAAUGAUUUCUUAUUCCAACAAGUGAACCCAUGGGCAAAAGAACCAUUGUCAGAAGUUAAGCAAAAACUUGAAGCAAAAAAGAGAAAUUGAAAAAAAUUUUUUUGAGACUCUAAAAAGGGAUGGGACAAUUAAAAUAUGAAGCAAAAGCUGAAAAAGUAUACUAAAAAAGGUGAUACAAGAUUGGGAUGUGGCCUAAAAUGAUCUAAAGGAUUUGCAUCAAGAAAAUAAGAUGUGCACUCAAUUAAAAGAGAGGAUAGGCAUUGGAUUUGGUGUUAGGUAGCAAAGAGAAAUGAUUGAGCUUCGAGAAGAAAUGCAAUAUUAAAAGGACAAAGCCAAAGAAAAUGAGGAAAAAACCAUCUGGAUUUUUUUAGAACAAUAAGAGUGAGAAGGUUUGUACUCAACAGCUUCAACAAGAUUGAUGGAAUGCCAAAAGAAGAAUGCUAAAUUGAAGGCACAGAUUAGAGAUAAAAAAAGAAAACACUAUGAAAUGCAAAAAGAGAAAGAAUCACCAUGAAAAGUGAUUCAAAAGAUGGAACAACAAUUGUAAAACCCCAAAGACCAUAUUUCCACAAUCAUCAAAGAGUGGCAAAAUAGAUAAGCAGGUUGGAGAUACAUUUGCUAUCAUGAAGUGGAUGCUUGUAUAAAGUGGAAGGUAUAGAGUUUGGGAAGGCAACAACACAUAAAGCAUUUAGUUAGUCAAAUUGGAAAAAUAGUAAGGAAAACAAAGGAGAUGGUUGAAAGAGAGGAAACAUUAAUACAAGAAAUCAAUCCAACUAAAAGUUAUAGGCAACUUUUUUUGAACUUUUUAGUUGAAGCCAAGGAUCACUAUGAGCAAAUUAAAUGUUUCUAUGGCUACAACGCUAAAAUGAUAGGCUUUAUGUAAUUAGAAACUUGUUGGAAUCAAUAAAAAGUUCUAAUGUUUGAGAUAUGUCUUAGAGUAAAUACCUCCCAAUGCAUUCAUGCAUACAUUUUGCAUUUUUUCUCAAUAUUUUACCUCAUUAAAAUAAUAUUUUCAAAAUUAAAAUAAAAAUUGUUUGGCUUUCACAAAAAUUGUGGCAUCUUAAUUUUUCAAAUUGUGAUAAUGAAAGGUUUAAGGAUAGUUUAGCCAUUGAAAGUUCAAAAUUGAUCUGCUCGCCACCCAUACAAUACACAGUUACAAAUUAGAAUUAUAGAAAAAGAGCAAGAACCUAGGAUAGAGAAAAAUGAAAAAGGCUUAAGAAGAUAUAUGAGAAUGGAUAGUUAAAAUGUAAAAGGAAUUGCAAAGACAAAUGAUAAAGCUGAGGGAGUUAAUGAGGGGCAUGGACAAAGGGAAAGGUAUUGCUUAAGCCUCUGUUACAAGAGAGGAAAAUUGACACCAUGGAAGCAACAAUGUCAGAGAAGAGCCAUUUUAUCCACCUAAGUAUAUACCACCCCAUGCUUGAGCUCCUCAAUUGAUGUAUCCAUCACAUGUGUGCGGGGAACCUUAUCCGUUCUUAAAUUUGAACUUAUCGGUUAACCAAUAACCAAAUCAGGGGUAAUUCAAGCAUAAUCCAGGAUGUAAUUCGGUUGAUUCAAUUUUUGUUCCUAAUUUGGAUGAUCCUCAAGAAUAAGAAAAAUUAAGAGGCAUGUCUGAGUGAAGAGAAAAAAAAAAUCUAACACAAGUAUGACUUGCUAGAAGGGAGACUAAAAGCUAUGGAAGGAAGAGAUAUCUUUGACAUUAUUGAUGCAAAUGACCUCAAUUUGGUAUUGGAUCUAGUAAUUCCAUUGAAGUUUAAAACUCAUAAUUUUGAGAAGUAUAAUGGAACUAAAUGCCUAUUGACCUAUCUUACCAUGUUUUAUCGUAAGAUGAUAGGUCACAUCGACAAUGAUAAGCUUUUGAUCCACUAUUUCCAAGACAGUCUAACUGGGUCUGCAGUGAGGUGGUAUGUCCAAUUGGAUAGGAGUUGCAUACAUUUCUAAAUGGGCCUUGCUAAAGCUUUUCUGGGCCAAUAAAAGUAUGUAUUAUACAUGGCUCCUGAUAGAUUAUCACUGCAAAAUAUGAAAAAGAAGGCCAACGAAACUUUUAAGGAAUAUGCUCAUUAAUGGAGGGAUCUUGCCAUUCAAGUACAAUAAUCUUUAACCAAAAAAAGAGAUAACAUUGCUUUUUGUUAAUACUUUUAAGGCACUGUGUUAUGAUAAACUUAUUUGCAAUGCAAUGAAAAUUUUACGGAUAUGAUGAUUUCUAGUGAAAUGAUAGAAAGUGCCAUCAAGAGUGGUAAGAUCAAGACAAGUGAUGCAUCAAAUUCCAAAAAAGUAAUGCCACCUAAGAAGAAAUAUGAAAAGGCACAUGUUAUGGCCUAUAAGAAUCAACCACUUAGAAAUUUUGUCCUAUGUCACCGCUAGCCAACCUAUUCACCUUAUUAUGCCAUGACACAUAACAUUUCCUAAGGUCCAUAUCCGUAUAAACUGGUACCACCAUCAAGAUUCUAGCAAAGCUUUUGCCAUCAUAUGCCAACUUAUGCUCUCACACCUAUAGCCAACCAGUUGUCCAGUCAAAUAGUUUGACAAACAAUCCUAGAAGUUUAAGGGCCAGUCAGGAGAAAACUCUCUUUAAUCCCACUCUUAUGUCUUACACUAAUUUGUUCCCUCAAUUGGUAGCAAACCAUGUCAUUACACCUUGCCCCAUAGAACCGUUGAAGCCUCCAUACCUUAGAUAGUAUGAUCCAAAUGCUCAUUAUGAUUAUCAUGAUGGGGUUAUAGGCCAUUUCAUAAAAAAUAGCAUAGCUCUUAAGUAUAGAGUGCAGCACUUGAUUAAGAAAAGAUACAUAAAUUUUAACACUAGUGGAAAGCCAAAUGUUAAUGAAAAUUAUUUGCCAAACCACGUUGGGCCAACGAUCAAUGCAAUAGAUGGCAAUCUGAUAAGGCAUAUUAAAAGAAGUGUUGAUAAAGUUAAAACCUCGAUGGGUCAAGUGUUCGAAAACUUGGUUAAAGUUGACAUGUUUCACGUAAUUUUUUCAAAACAAGUGAUCUAUCAUGGAGACUUUGAUAUAGUUCAAGCAUGUGCCUAUCACAUGAAUAUGGUAAGACACUAAACUCAGAAUUAUGGUGUGUUUCACCAAGUGCUACAAAUAAUGAUAAAUUCAUCCUUGGUAGAGUUUUAUGAAGAGGAUGAUUAGAAUAUAGUGAAUGCAACAAAAUGAGGGUCUUCAGGGAAUAUGUCCUCUAAGUUUAUGCUUAAGUUGGCAAUGAUCUAUUGUAAUGAAAAAUCAAGUAAGGGCUAGGGCAAACUUUGAUGAAUAAAGCAAGAGAAGGAUCUUUAGAAAGUAUGUUCCCUAAGUUUGUGCCUAAAUCGAUAACUAUCUUUUGCAACCUAAAAUCAAGCUUGAUGAAAGAACAACCCAUUUCUUUUCCCAUGAAAUGUAUAACAAUUCGAGUCCCUAACCCAUUCCUCUUUCAGAGUAAUAAGGUAAUACCAUGAAAGUAUGAUUAUAAUGUCAUGGUAUAAGAAUCAAAUGAUUGUUAGGUUGUAAAUGACCCAAAUGCCAACAGUAUUGCAAAUAUAACUGAGGUAGGUGGAAUGACGAAGAGUGGAAGAUGUUAUACUCAAAUAAUAAAGAAGGCUCGAAAGGGCAAAGAAGAGAUGUUAGAAGAAAAAGAUAAGGCUCAUGUGGUAAUGGCUUAAGAUGCAUAAUAUAAAGAACUUGUCAUUGAAAAAGAAGCCUGUGUGUUCUUAGACUUGAUCAAACACAAUGAAUACAAUAUGUUAGAAUAGUUGAACAAGUUGCAUGCUCGAAUUUCUUUGUUGUCGUUAUUGAAUUUUAAACCACAUCAAAAUGCCCUACUGAGAGUGUUGAAUCAAGCACAUAUGGACUGUAAUAUUUUUAUUGAGAAUGUUGAUUAUAUUGUGAGGAGUAUUAUGGCUCCGAAUUUUAUAACUUUCAAUGAUGAUGAAAUUUCACUUGAAGGAUGGGGUAGUAGCAAGGCCUUUCAUAUCACUACUAUAUGCAAAGGCCACAUCAUAGCUAAGGUUCUUAUUGAUAAUGACUUUUCAAUCAAUGUCAUCCCCAUGAUUACCCUAAUAAAAUUACCUAUUAAUGUGUCACAUAUGAAGACCAAUCACAUCGUAAUGAGGGCUUUUGAUGGGUCUUGAAGGAAAAUGCUAGGAGACAUUGAAAUACCAGUGCAAAUAGAGCCAUGCAUGUUCUUUAUUAAAUUCCAAGUCAUAGACAUUUCACCAUUUUAUAGCUGCUUGUUAGGACGACCAUGGAUUUAUAUGACAAAAGCUGUCCUGUCAUCUUUACAUCAAAAAGUAAAGUUUAUAGUUGAGGAUAAAUUGAUUAGUGUUUUUAGAGAAGAAGACUUGUUGGUGACUAAGCACAUGACCACUCCACAUAUGAAAGUUACAGAGGGGGCAUUAGAGUACUCUUUUAGAUCUUUUGAAUUUAUUAAUGCAACUUAUGUAGAGGAGGGAUCAAAGGUGCACACUCUAUGCUUAUCAAAUACCACUGGGAUGGUUUUCAAGCAAACACUAGGUAAAUGAUGGCAUGUUGGAUAUAGACUUGGAAAGAAUUUGCAGGAGUCAAGAAGCCACCCAGAGUAUUUGAAAAUAGGGAAAGAUUUGAAGUGGGAUUUAAAGUCAUUCUAAUAGAAAGAAAGAAAGCCAUCGUUGAAAAGAAUUAGAAAAGACUGGCGUGGCUUAAAAGACAUAAGCUUGAGUAUGCAAGAAUGAUCAUCCCCUAUCUGUAUGAUACAUUUUGUUUAGGCAGAUAUAUCCACUCUAAUUUGUUAAAGGACACACGAAGGGAACCUAUAUUGAACAUGGAAUAAGCUUUUUUUUAACUUCAUAUCUAUAUGGUGAGAGAUGCAACAACAACAUUUUAAGGAGAUGAGCCUCAUGUUUAUCCAUGUCUUCCAUAUAAAGAGCUGAACAAUUAAAAAUCAAUGAGGUUGUUAGUUAUCUUUAAAUCUUUCACAAAGUAAUGUAGUGAGUUAAUUUUCCCCAAUGCUUAUGCCCAAGAGCAUUUUGAAGAGUUUUGUAUAAGCUUAUCUUUCCUUUAUCAUUUCAAUAAAAUGACUAGUGUUUUGCAUUUGUAUUUCCUGUGUUAUUUUUUUCAUUCAAAGUUACAAUUUUCUUUUCUUUUUCCUUUCCCACACGUAAGCCUACAUCUUUUCAAUUUCACUUAUUUUUAGGUUUUCAAAUAAUGAAUACAAAGAUAAUCAUGACGACAAUCCAAGAUUUGACUUUGAAAAACUUUUCACAUUGAUGAACUUGAUAAUGAAAAGGAUUCAGAUGAGGACAAUUUACCCCAUGAUUUAUUAAUACUAAUGGAACAAGAAAGAAAACAAAUUGAACCUCACGCAAAAGCUACAGGCAUAAUCAAUUUAGGUGAUGAAGAGAAUAAGAAGGAGGUUAAGAAGGGCACAUCCUUUUUACACACCAAAGAGGGAGGUUGGAAGAAUUACUUUGUGAGUUUAUUGAUGUGUUUGCUUGGUCAUAUUAAGAUAUACCAAGACUCAGUUUAGAUAUUGUAGAACACCAAUUGCCAUUGAAGCUAGAAUGUAAGCUAGUACAACAUAAAUUGAGGUGCAUGAAAUCAGACAUAUUGUUAAAAAUCAAAUAAAAAGUAAAAAAAACAAUUUGAUGUAGGCUUUUUGGAGGUAGCCAAAUAUCUGAAAUGGGUGGCUAAUGUGGUCCUAAUUCCCAAGAAGGAUAAAACAGUUUGAAUAUGUGUAAACUACAGAAAUUUGAAUAGAGUUAGCUUGAAAAAUAAAUUUUUUUAUCCUACAUUGACACUCUAAUGGUAACACUGCUAAACAUUCUACAUUUUUUUUCAGGCAUGGGUUUUUCUGAGAUAUAACCAAAUUAAAUAUGGCGCCCUGCUGCAUAUGAAAAAAAAACUACAUUUGUUACCAUGUGGGGCAACGUUCUGUUAUAAACUUAUUCUUUUUAGGUUGAAAAUUACAGAAGCUACCUUAUCAAAGAGCUAUGAUAACCCUCUUCCAUAACAUAAUGCAUAAAGAAAAUAGAGGUGUAUGUGGGGAUGAUUGAUUGUAAAAUCUUGUGAAGAAGGACCAGUUUACCAAUCUCAAAAAGUUGUUCAAAAGACUACGAAAAUAUCAACUCAAGCUAAACUCAGCAAAGUGCACAUUUGGUGUUAAGUCCGAAAAAUUGUUAGGGUUUAUGGUUAGUGAGAAGAGCACUGAAGUUGAUCCAAAUAAAAUACUUGCCAUCCAAAAUUUAUCUCUUUCAUGCACAUAAAAAGAAGUAAGGAGUUUUUUGGGAAGGUUGAAUUACAUUUCUUACUUUAUUUCUCAACUUACUUUUAAAUGUGACCCAAUUUUCAAGUUGCUUCAAAAACAUGAUCCCGAAAAAUGGGAUGAGGAAUGUUAGUAUGCCUUUGAAAAAAUUAAAAAGUACCAUAAAAUCCUUCGGUGUUGGUAUCACCUAUUAAGGGGAAACCAUUGAUUUUGUAUGUCAUGGUGUAUGACCAUUCUAUGGGAUAUGUGUUGGGGCAAGAAUAUGAAAUGGGCAAGAAAAAGCAAGCCAUUUAUUACUUAAAUACGAAGUUCAUUGAAUAUGAGUUUAAAUAUUCCCAACUAAAAAAAAUGUGUUAUGCAUUAGCUUAGACAGCUUAUAGACUUAAGCAAUAUAUGCUACACCAUACUACUUGGUUGAUAGUAAGGUUGGAUCCUCCUAAGUAUAUUUUUGAAAAACCAUCAUUUUCAGGAAGGGUAGCAAAAUGGCAAGUCAUACUCUCUAAAUAUGAUAUUGUAUAUGUGUCACAAAAGGCAAUCGAAGGAAGAAUGAUACUUGAAUUUCUAGCAGAGCAUGUAACUGAUGAUUAUGAGCCUACGAAAUUGGACUUUCUCGAUGAAGAUUAAUGACCAUAUCCCAAGUAGAGGAAAAGGAACCAGUAGAAAAGCCAUGGAAAAUGUUCUUUGAUGGGGUUUCAAAUGCUUUAGGGCCUGGGAUUAGAACAAUUUUGAUAUCCCUUUAUGGAAAUUAUUAUCCAAGCAUUACAAGGUUAGAUUUUAAUUGCACCAACAAUAUUGCAAAAUAUGAAGCAUGCAUAAUGGGCUUGCAAUGGCAAUUGAAAGGAAAAUUGGAAUGUUAGAAGCCUAUGGAGACUUGGCUUUGGUAAUUUAUCAACUACGUGGUGAAUGGGAAACAAAAGAUUCAAAGUUGGUAUAAUACCAAAAGUAUGUGGCAGAUUUAGUCAAACAAUUUGAAGAGGUCUAAUUUUUUCAUGUACUUUGAGAAGAUAGUUAAAUGGCUGAUGCCCUAGCAAUACUGGUUGCAAUGUUUAAAGUGGGUGAUAAGAUGGAAAUCUAACCUAUCCGAUUGAAUGUGCAAGGAUCACUAGCAUAUUGUUCAUUUGUUAAAGAGGAGAUUGAUGGCCUGCUGUGGUACUAUGAUAUCAUGCAAUAUGUCAAGUACCAACAUACCCAAAGCACGCAUCAGAAAAUGACAAACAAAUCAUCAAAAGAUAGCUAUGGGAUUUUUCUUUUAUGGAGAAAUUUUUUAUAAGAAAAGUCGAGAUCAAAUGUUAUUAAGAAGCAUGAAUGUGGUUGAAGCCAAGAAAAUAUUGCAAGAAGUGCAUGAAAGAACUUGUGGAACACAUGCAGAUGGCCACAUAAUGGCUAAACAAAUCAUAAGGGCAGGUUAUUAUUGGUUGACAAUGAAGAAUGAUUGUAUCAACUUUGCCAGAAAAUGCCAUAAAUGCUAGAUUUAUGCAAGUAAAAUUCAUGCUCCUCCAAUCCCUUUACAUGUUCUCGCACCUCCAUGGUCGUUUUCCAUAUGGAGAAUGGAUGUAAUUAGACCCAUCACUCCAAAAGCUUCAGAUGGACAUCGAUUCAUUUUUAUCAUGAUCGACUAUUUCAUAAAAUGGGUCGAAACAUCUUUUUAUACUAAUGUGACAAGGCAAUGGUAUGCAAGUUUAUAAAAAAGGAGAUUGAUAUGGCCUUCCAAAAAAGAUCAUUUCUAAUAAUGCUUGCAAUUUGAAUAACAAAAUGUUAGCAGAUGAUUGUGUUUAGUUUAAAGUGAGGCACCAUAAUUCAACUCCAUAUCACCCAAAAAUGAAUGGAGCAGUAAAAGCUGCUAAUAAAAAUAUCAAGAAAAUAAUAGAAAAAAUUAUUGAUAUUUAUAAAGAUUGGCAUGAAAAGUUACUUUUCGCAUUGUAUGCUUAUAGGACAUUAGUGCUUACAUCUAUUGAGGCCAUUCCUUUUUCACUCGUAUAUAGUAUGAAAGCUAUGCUGUCAAUCGAGAUGAAGAUUUUUUCUUUAAGGAUCUUGAAAGAAGUAGAUUUAGAGGAAGUGAAAUGGGUCCAAAAUUGCUAUAAAGAACUAAACCUCAUUGAAGAGAAAAGGUUACAACUCUUUGUCAUGGUUAGUUGUACCAAAAAAGAAUGGUGUAACCACAUGUCAAAAGAGUUCAAUUCAGGCAUUUACAUAAGGGGGAAUUGGUUUUAAAAAAAAUUAUUUCAAAUCAGAAUGACAAUUGAGGAAAAUGGGUGCCAAAUUGGAAGGAUCCAUAUGUAGUCAAAAAGGUUUUUUCGAGUGGAGGAUUGAUUUUGGCAAAGAGGGAUGUGGAUGAUUAGCCAAACUUGAUAAAUUUAAAUGCUAUAAAAAAGCACUUUGCUUAAGAAAAAAGAAAAUAACAAUAAAAAAAAACCAAAAAAAAAAGGAAAAAAUUGAAGGAAGACUCAUAAUUGAAAACCUAAAAAAACCAAUUUAAGUCAAAAGGAAGGAUCUAAGUUGAAAACCUAAAAAGGUGGCUUAGAUGCGAAGGAAAUAUCCGAGUACAAGGGGAAAUGUCCAAUACAAUGAACUCAGAAGGAUCAGUUGUAUUAAUGGAAUGGGUUUUUAAGAAAAAAAAUUUGGAAUAUUGUUCAUGUUGUCUGAAUAUUCACUUUUUGAAUAUAAUUCUCUUGUUUAAACUAGUGUUCAAGCUUUUCGUUGGACACAUUUUUGUACCUUUUUAUAAUAAAUAUUCACCUUUCUCUAAAUUACCUUGCUUUUUGGUAAUCUUUAUUUUCUCAAAUAGAGGAAACGCUAAUUCAUUACACUAUUCAUGAAAUUUGAAAUAUGAUAAAUGAUUGAUAAUACUCGUAAAAGAUUUUACAUUAUUUUGUGAAGAUCAAAGAUAACAAAGUAUAAAAAAAACAAACAAACAAAAAAAAAAUAAAACACAAAAAAAAGGGAAGAUUUGGAAAGGCACCUAUUUUCAAAUUCAUCAAAUCAUAGUAAAAACUUGUUAGAAGUAAUGUUGGAUAAGGAUUAGGAAAUGAUUGUCGUAGUUCAUGAGAAAACAGCUUCUAGAAUAUGCAAACUGGGGUUGAGAAUGGUUAUUUAAAAAAAUAAAAUAAAAUAAAAACAAAACAAAAACAAAAAUAAAAAAAAGAAAUGAUUGAUGUAAAGAACCUUGUUACCAUAAUUUGGAUGCGUCAUAUUGAUUUCUUAUAAAACUUGCAUUACAUUCAUUGCAUUCAUGAAUUGCAUUAAUAUGUUCUUCAGAAAAAUUUGAACCUUGUUUUUAAGGAAGAAUCAUUCAAAUAAAUGAUUGAAGCAUGAAAAAUGAUUUUGAAAUAAUCACAACUUGUGAAAUUCUCGAACCAUAACAUCAUGAGUCAUUUCCAAACUAGUUUCAAAAUAAAAAGAAAGAAAGAGAAAAAAAAAACAAGAUUUUAAAAUUUUAAAACUGCUGAUUGGGGAGAAACCUUUUUUAAAUUUUAUUUUUGAAGUUUCAAUGCCUCUGAUUGGGAGGAGCAUUCAAAGAUUUUUGAAAUCUCUAAGACCUCAAGGCAAAACAUUUUAAAUUUUUAAAGUUUCAAUGCCUCUAAUUGGGAGGAGCAUUCAAAGAUUUUUGAAAUCUUUAAGAUUCGAAGACCUCUAGGCAAAACAUUUUAAAAUUUCAAAGUUUCAAAGCCUUUGUAUGGGAGGAGCCAUUUUAAAAGUUUCAAAGCCUUGGCUUGAGGGAAGCUAUUUUAAAAGUUUUGAAGCCUCUAUUUGAGAGAAGCCUUUUUCAAAGUUUCAAAGCUCUAUUUAGGGGGAGCUAUUUUCAAAAUUUCAAAGCCUCUGUUUGGGGGGAGCCAUUUUGAAAACAAAAAAAAAAAAACUCUCUCAAAAGCAUCAUCUGGAUAAAAUUGUUGUCUAUAUCUUUACAUUAUUUUUUAUUCUCUGAAAUAUGCAAAGAGGGGCAGCUGCAAACAUCAAAUUUUAUUCGAAACAUUUUUGCAUGGUUGAACAAAGCCCAUUUGAAGUCCAAAAAAAGGUCCCUUCAAGAGUCCAUAAAAUGCAUCAAUAUUUAAGGCAAAUGAUGGAUGAAAAUUAAAGAAUAAAUAAAACGGGUCAACCUUCAAAGUCAACUCUAGUCAAAAUUAUACAAAACUCAAUCAAAAUGAAUGGAACCAAGGUUGAUCCUCAAAAUUUGUAACCUAAAUUGAAUCAAUGUGGUUUUAAAUUAAAUUUGGUGUUUUUUAAAAUACUAAAAUUUUUAUUGUACUAAGAAAAAUGUGAAAUUACUAAAAUAUCCCUAUAAAGGUAUUUUGAUAAUUUGAUUUUUUUGAACUUGGAUUUUUAUGAAAUUUUUUAGAUCUUAAUUUCAUAAUAUUUCAUGAUUUUUUGUGUAUUUGAAAUCACAACCGUAGCUUAAAAAAUGUAAAAUUAUCAAAAUACCUAGGUAUUUUUAUAAUUUAUCCUUCUAGAGCUCAAAUUUUCAUGAAACUUUUUAGAUCUUAAUUUUAUAAUAUUUCAUAAUUUUUAGUGCAUUUGAAAUCAUAGUAGUACCUUAAGAAAUAUGAAAUUACUCAAACACCCUUGUAGUGAUAUUUUCGUAAUUUGACCUUUUCGAGCACAGAUUUUCUUGAAACUUUUCAGAUUUUAAUUUUAUAAUAUUUCAUUAUUUUUGGUAUUUUAAAAUUCUAAAAAUGAGCAUCAAAACAUUGAUUUAUAAGAAAAUGCCAUAAAUAUCAAAAACUUUGUAUUAGGGUAAAAUGAUCUUUUCAUAUGUUUAGAGGAAAUAAAAAUCCAACAUUUGCAGUGAAUAAUGUGGAUCAUUAGAUCUUUUAUUGAUCUUGAUCUAAUGGUCAAAGGUGGUUCCUUGAAAGGAUUAAAAAGGUAAGCUUUUGACCUUAGGAUGAAAUCUCAUCUAAAGGUCUAGAUUCAUCAAAAAUUAGAUUUUUUUUUAAGAGCUACUAUUAAAGGGGGUUAGGGGUCCGGUCAAAAGUGAAGAGAAGAAAGGCUGAAAAACUAGAAAGGUGGGAAAAGAAAAGCCAAACACGUAAAACAGGGAGGGAGGAAAGCUACUAAAAAAAAAGAGGAAGCCCAAUAGAGAAAAAGAAGUAGAAUUAGAAAAAGAAAAAGAAAAAAAAAAGGGUUGCUAAAAGAAAGGAGCUCCUAAAAAAUACUGGAGGGGAAGCUACCGAAGGAAAAAAGAAGGGGAAGCUGCUAAAAGGAAAAUGGAUAAAGCUACCAAAAGAGAAAGGGAUGAAGCAAGCAAAGGUAGAAAGGGUUUCAAGCUGGUUUUCUUUGUUAUUCCAUGUGGCAUGAUUUCAAUUUUUUUUUUUUUUGUUUUUGAGCUGCUGUAGUGUUUUCAUUUAUUUAACUCAGUGUUGACUGAAUUGGCUUCCUUUUCUUUACACGCCAUUUGCAUUUUCAACUUGACAUCAUGGAAGUUAUGGUCAACACAUUUCCAAGUUGAUUUAUUUGAUGUUAUGUUGUAUUGGUUCAUUGAUCUUUAGAUACUCAUUGAAUCUACUGGUUCUUAUGGCGUGAUGAAUACUCAUAGGAAGUUAGAAAUUUUUUUUUCUAUUUUGGUUUUUUGUUUGUUAAUAGUACUGUUUCACCUAGCUCAAAGUCAUGUCUUAUUCUUCUUUUGGAUUGUUUACAACUUUACAAAGGUUUAACAAGAUGUUGAAAUUUUUACAAUAAGGCUUAUUUCCAUGUAUGUUUUAUAUCAUCAUUCAUAUUUCUCUAAUUUUGUUUUAAAUAUGAUUAUAAUUUAAAUCUUAUGCAUUUCCUUUCAUGCUAGUUUAGUUAAAUUUUCAUGUUCACUUUAAAUUUACUUAAUUUAGUUUUUGCACCUUAAUAUAUUUUAAAUGAAAAUUUGUUCUUCAUUUAUAAAAUAAUGUUAUGAAUGAAAUUAUCCAAGGAUCAUAUUUUAGAGAAAUCUGAGUAGUGAUUUCUCUAAAAUGUCGAGGUGAGGAUAUUUUUCUAAAAAUACUACCAAAGUAAUGGAGUAUUUGGGAAAAUAUUCAAUACAAAAAAGUUUCAUUUGUCUAGUUUUCUAAAAUUUUGAUAGAUGUUAGUAAUAGUUUGUAAUGACUUUUUUAAUAAUAAAAUUGAUAUAAUUAAAGUUUAAAAAUUAGAACAAAAAAAUAUAUAAUUAAUUAAGUAAGAAAAGACAAAGUGAAUAAAAAUUUUUAAGGAUGAGAUUUUAAGGAAGUCCGAGUAGAGAUUCCUAAAAAUCCUUAGGUGAGAAAAAUUUUCUAAAAUAUCGCCAAAAUAUCAGGGUAUUUAGGUAAAUUUUCAAUAAAAAUUUUAUUUUCUUUGUUGUUUCAAUUUUUAGUGAUAAUUGAAAACAAGUAAAGAGAAUUAAAACAUAAUUAAUAUAUGUUUUUCAUAUGCAUAUUCUACUUGAUUAUUUAUAGUAAAUGCAAAUGAAAAUUCCAAUGAUAAGACUUCAAGAAGUUCGAGUAGUGAUUUUUGAGAAUUUUUUAGGUGAGAAAAGUUUUCUAAAAAUUAUCAAUUUAUUAGAAUAUUGAAAAGUUUCUUUCCAAUACAAAAAAAAUUCAUUUGAUCAUUAUUGUUAAUUUGAGUAGUUUUUUUUUAUGAAAAUAUACUUUUGGAAAUAAAUUUGUUUAUAGAUAAUGAUUUAUUACAUGAUUUUAAUGUAAAAAAAUCUCCGAUGAUGGGACUUUGGAAAAUCUGAGUACUAAUUUCCCAGAAAUCCUUAGGUGAGAAAAAGUCUUCUUAAAAUUGUCAAAGUAUUGGAAUAUUUAGAGGUUCUUUUCAACACAAAACAAAUUUAUUUUAUGAUUAUUUUCUAUAAUUCAAACAAUAUUUCUUUAUAAAUAAGAGUGUUUUUAAGAAACAAAUAUAUUUGUGGAUAAUUAUACUAUUACAUGAUUUUAAAUAAUAAAUAAAUAAAAAAUCUCUGAGGAUGGGAUUCUAAAAAAGUCUGAGUAGUAAUUCUUUAAGAAUCUUUAGGUAAGAAAAUCUAUCUAAAAUGCCACCAAUGUAUUGGAGCAUAUAGAAUAAUUUUUUAUAAAGAUUUAUUGUUCUUUUAUAAAUGACAUAGAAAUGAGUUUUUUAAAAAAUGCUAUUUGUUUUUAAAAUUAUAGAUAUUAUAUUUUAGUGAAAUAAAUACAAACCACCAAGGACAAGAUUUUUGAAAAUUUUAAGUAGUGAUUCUUAAAAAUUCCUUAGGUGAGAUGGUUCCUUUUAAUAUUUCUAGAAUAUUGAAAUAAUUUUAGGAAUUUUUCAAUAUAAAGUUCUUAUUUAUUUUUCAAGCUCACUAAAAAUAAAAAAUAUGUUUUUUAAAGAAAAAUAAGGAAAUUAAUUUUUUAAAUACCAAAAUUAAAACCAUUUUAGUCAUAAUUAAAUGAUAACACAAAAUUAAUUGGUACCAUUUUAAAUGGGCAUCAUAGGGGUGCUAAUCCUUCUUCACACAUAACUGACUCCUGAACCAACAUGAUUUUUUCAUAGACAAAAAAUUAUAUUUUUAAUAAAUUUUAAUUUUUACUAAAAGGAUAAGUUUUAAUAGGUGGCCAAUCACACCUAGCCAAAAAAAGAUUGGUGGCGACUUUAUUUUUUUUGUUUUUCAAAUUCGUCUAGUAUUUCCUAAAAUCGUUAUGACAUCAUUGCUCUCUUUCUUUCUAUUGUAGUGACUUUAAAUCCUAAUCCAAACCUUUCCCUAUUUUCAAAUAAUCUAGGUGGCUCCUUGACUCCUUGCAAAUUCCUUCCAAGUCUGUAUCCAACUCGUCAUCUUUUUACCCAGUGUUUGUUUAACAACCAUCUCGAUGGUAUUUGAUAAGUGUGGAGUGCACAACUUCGAUCCCUCCACUACAUAAGUUGCAUUAAUAAAUUCAAAAGAGCUAAAAGAGCUAAAAGAGCACUCCAAUACCUCAUUUGUAGCUUUCACAUAUGGUGUGGUUAUAGGCUUGGUCACCAACAAGUCUUUUUCUCUAGAAACACUAAUCAGUUGAUCUUUAACUAUAAACUUUACUUUUUGAUGCAGAGAUGAUAGGAUAGCUCCUACCAUAUGAAUCUAUAGUUGUCCCAAUAGGCAGCUAUAAGAUGGCGAAAUGUCCAUGACUUGGAAUUUUAUAGAGAAAGGGCAUGGCCCUAUUUGCAUUAGUAUUUUAACGUCCCUUAACACUUCCCAUCAAGAUUCGUCAAAAGCCCUCACUACCAUAUAGCUGGUCUUCAUAUGUGAUACAUCAAUGGGUAAUUUUAUUAGGGUAAUCAUAGGUAUGACAUUGAUUGAAGAGCCAUUGUCAAUAAAAACUUUAGCUAUGAUAUGGCCUUUGCACAUAGUAAUGAUAUGAAAGGGUUUUGGCACUGCCCUUCCCUUUGGUAAGAUUUCAUCAUCAUUGAAAGUUAUGAAAUUCAGAUCCAUAAUACUCUCUACAAUAUGGUCAACAUUCUCAAUAGAGAUAUUACGGUCCAUAUGUGCUUAAUUCAACACUCUUAGUAAGGUAUUUCAAUGCAGUUCAAAAUUCAACAAUAGUGACAACAAAGAAAUUCGAACAGGCACUUUGUUCAACUGCUUUACUAUGCUAUAUUCACUGUUUUUCAUCAACUUUAAGAACUCACAUGCUUCUUUUUUAGUGACAGGUUCCUUACAUUGUGCAUUUUUAGCCGUUACAAAAUAAGUCGUGUCUCAUUCUCCCAAUAUAUCUUUUUUGCUCUUUUGAGCCUUCUUUAUCAUUUCAGGAGUAUAACAUCUCUCACUCCUCGUCAUUCCACCUACCCUAGUUAUAUUUGCACUACUGGUGGCAUUUGGGUCAUUUGCAACCUGACAGUCAUUUGAUUCUUAUGCCAUGACAUUAUAAUCAUACUUUCACGACUCUACCUUAUUACUUUGAUAAGGGAAUGGGCUAGGGAUUCGAAUUGUUAUAGGUUUUAAGGGAAAAGGAAUGGGCUAUUAUUUCACUGAGCUUGUUUUUAGGUUACAGAAGAUAGUUAUUGGUUUAGGCAUAAACUUGGGGAACAUACUUUUUGAAGAUCUUCUUCAUGUUUCAUUCAUCAAAGUUUGCCCUUGCACCUCACCUGGUUUUUCAUUAGAAUAAAUCAUCACCAACUUAAGCAUAAACUUAAAGGGCAUACUCCUUGAAAACCCUUUUUUUUUGUUGUAUUCACUAUGUUUUGAUCAUCCUCUUCAUAAAACUCUACCAAGGUCGAAUCCAUCAUUGUUUGUAGCACUUGGCAAAACACACCACAAUUCUGAAUUGAGUGUCCAACCAUAUUCAUGUGAUAGAUACAUGCUUGAGUUGGAUUAAAGUCUCCUUGAUAAAUCACUUGUUUUGAGGGAAUUAGGUGAAGCAUGUCGACCUUGACCAAAAUUUGAAACACUUGACCCAUUGAGAUUUUAACUUCAUCAACACUUUUUUUAACAUGCCUUACCACACUGCCCUCUAUUGUAUUGAUCAUUGGCCCAUAGUGGUUUGGCAAAGGAUUUUCAUUAACAUUUGAUUUCCCACUGGUGUCAAAAUUUAUAUAUCCUUGUUUUGAUCAAGUAUUACACUCUAUACUUAAGAGCUAUGCAAUUUUUAACUUAAUGGCCAGUAACCCCAUCAUGACAAUCACACUGAGCAUUUGGAUCAUACAAUCUAAGGUAUGGAGGCUUCAAUGGUUUUAUGGGGUAAGGUGCAAUGAGAUGGUUUGCUAUCAAUUGAGUGAACAAAUUAGUGCAAGACAUGGGAAUGGGAUCAAGGGGAGUUUUCUCUUAAGUGGCCUUUAGACCUCUAAGAUUGCUUAUUGAACUAUUUGACUGGACAAUAGGUUAGGCUACGGGUGUAAGAGCAUAAGUAGGCAUGCCAAGGCAAAAGCUUUAUGGGAUUCUAGGUGGUGGUACUAGGGGUGUAAUCAAGCUGAAUCAAGAUGAUAUAGUGAAAAGCUCAAACUCGAGCUCGAGCUUAACUCCUAACUCACCACUUGAUACUCGGCUUAAACUUGAUCAAGUUUCAUUUUCCUAGUUCAAGCUUGAUUCGUGAUCCAAAUUGAGCUACUCAAGUUCACUCGAUUGGCUCAAUUAAUAUAUAAAAAUAAGCUCGAUUCUUGUACUCGACAAAAGCUCGAUUAUUUGUACUCGAGCUCAAACUCGAACUUGAGCUCGAGAUCGAGAUCUUUUACAACUAUUUUUAAACAAACUUAAUACAUAUUAUAUUUUCAAGAUAAUAACAAUAAUAAUAGUAACAACAACAAUAACAACAACAAUAAUAAUAAUAAUAAUAACUUACACAAUAACUGAAUUUUAUAUCCCUGAGUUCUCUAAAAAUGUAUUCCUCCACCUAUGUAUGAUUUAGAAUAUUUUUAUUAAAUAGAUCGAAUGUGAUAAACAGUAAAAUGUAAAAUAAAAAGAAACCUGAAUAUUAUGAUUUGAUCAGGCUUUCACUUUCCUAAACUUGCAUAAAAGUCCAAGAGAACGUCCCUGAGAUCAAAGAAAUUACAUUAGGUAUACAAACUAUAUACAUCACUAGACCCAAAAGUUAUAACACCAUAGACGUAAAUGAUUACCGGUAGAAUAACAUAUCACAUAACUUUCUUACUAAAACCAACUCAAUCACUACCACUUGACAUUUCAAAAAAUAAGAGAGGAAAAGGAUAUUAAAAUUAAAUUUCAGCAAAAAGCACUUGUCCUUCGAUUUUUUUUUUUGCCAAUGCUUGUCCCUUGUUCAGUCAAAUAACUUUAUGAUUGAAGCUCACCUCAUGAUACCUUCAUCCUCCUUGUUAGACACUCAUUUGAAUAAAGAAUCUAUCAUCUCAACCUUAGGUGACUACAUACGCACGGAUGCCCUAUAACGGGAAAUCAAAGGCCAUUACCUGGAGCUGACCACCUACAAAUUAAACAUAAUUAAAAAAAUCCCAAAAUUUGAAGCAGAGACUGCCAAAUCACAUAUCUAUAACUAUUAUUAAAAAUUGCAUGUAAUUGAUGAAAACUCAAGAAACCCAACAAUAAAGAAUGGGAUAAUCCCUACAACAGCAAUUGAUGGGGAAAUCAGUUGCCCAGGAAAGCCAUGUGACACAUCCAUGCCAAAGAUGAUAGUCAGAACCUUUGAAAUAAUAAGGAUUAAAGGUGUUUCUUCAAUAGCUAAUAUCGAAUUCAAACCUCCAAGCUGUGAGCAGAUUGUAAUAGACAUGUUAGCUGGUUUAAUACUAAAUAUUAGAACUGCAAUAAGAGAAAUUGGUUAAAGUAAAAAAAAAAAUUUUAAAAAAGAGCAUAUUUGAUAAGAACAGACCUUUGCAUUGAUCUUGAGAAGCAAAUUUGUAAAGUGCUAAUCAUUGACCCUAGUUAGAGCUAUACAUUAAGUGACUAUGCCAAACUCAGCAAGAUUCUUUCACUUCCAUGGACCUUAAAAGAUUCAAUAAACAUUAUAUUUAAAGAAAAGACUUCAAGAAAGACAUGCAAGGCUAAUGUAUAAACAGAUGAGAUUGUGCACACCAUAAAGAUCAUAAUUUUUCCUAUCAGAUGGUAGGCAAAAAAGGAACUAUGGAGCUCUAGGAAGUUUAGAUUAGAUCUUCUCAAACAUCUUCUCCACUCUAACCACAAGAGGGGCACAUCUAUUCUAAUUCGUCUCUUGAAACACAUUAAAUGGAGGAUCUAUACGCUAAAGCAGAGACAUGGAAAUCAGCUCCUUUCACCUUCCUGUUUCGAAUCACUAGUUUAUUAAUAUGAAUAAUGGGUAGUCUUUCUAAGCUAGAUCACCUUAUUCCCAUCAACUUCUUGGCCACACCAAGGUCGACGGCAUUGAUAACUUUCCUUUACCACUUUUUUUUGUCAAAAUUUAUUUUGGCAUGGUUUUUACUUAAGAUAGUUACAGAACUAUAGGACAAAUAAAGGAAUUGGAUCAUGCUCAAAGACUUUAUCAUCAUUAUAUUUUUGUACAAAAUUACAUGGAUGACUACAUAAUCAAACACAAUAAAGAAUCAUGGCUACAACUGUAAAGUUCACUUGUUAUGAAAAAACCUUUUGUUGUUAUGCAGAAAGGUAGCAACCUACUUGGAUUUGUCUUUGGAUUUUCCAACUUUGAUUUGUCUUGGAUUUGAGUUGGCUUUGGUCUAGCUUUGAAAUCUUGGAAGAGAGUGGGAGGAAAAGGCGUAGUAAAGGUUUUUUGGUGAUAUGAGAAAAACAAAGAGAAAGAGAGAAAGAAAAGAAGGAAAGAAGAAAAUAAAAUUUUAAGGUAUUUUAGGUUAAGGGUAAAAUAGUAAUUUUAUAAAUAAAAUAAUAAAAAAGUUUGAUUAGGCUUACGAGUUAUUCGAGUCAGGUACUAAUAUGCUCAAACUCGACUCGUUCGAUAAAUCAAGCUAUUCAAGUUUGAGCUCAGCUCGAUAAUUAUUGAAUCAAAUUUAAGUUUUAAUCGAAUUGAAUCUGAGUACCUUACGAGUACUAAUGUAUCAUUUACACCUUAGGUGAGACGGUUGAUAUGGAUAUGAACUUUGGGAAAUCUUAUGUAUGGUAGGGUAAUAAAGUGGGUAGGUUGGGUAGGGGAGAUAUAGGAUAAAAUUUCUAGGUGGUUGAUUCCUAUAAGCCACAAUAUACGCCUCUCCAUCUUUCUUUUUAUGUAUUAUUACUUUCUUGGAACUUGAGGCAUCACCUGUCUCGAUCUUACAACUUUUGAUCACACUUUCUAUCAUUUCACUAAAAAUUAUUAUAUCUGUAAAAUUUUUUGUUGCAUUGUCAACAAGUUUGUCAUAGUACGGUGCCUUGAGAGUAUUAAUGAAAAGCAGUAUUGUCUCUUUUUUAGUCAAAUACGAUUGUACUUAAGCAGUAAGAUCCCUCCAUCUAUAGGCAUAUUCCUUAAAAGUUUCAUUGGCUUUCUUUUUCAUAUUUUGUAGUGACAAUCUAUUAGGAGCCAUGUCUAAUACAUGUUUGUAUUGGCCAAGAAAAGCUUUAGCAAGGUCCUUCCAAAAAUGUAUGUGACUCCUAUCCAAUUGGACAUACCACCUAGCUACAGACCUAGUGAAGUUGUCCUAAAAACAGUGGAUUAGAAACUUAUCAUUGUUGAUGUGACCUGUAAUCUUACAACAUAACAUGGUGAGAUAGGCCGAUGGGCAUUUAGUUUCAUCAUAUUACUUAAAAUCAAAAGUUUUAAACUUCAGUGAAAUUACUAGAUCUGGGACCAAACUAAGGUCAUUCACAUCAAUAAUGCCAAAGAUGUCUCUUCUUUCAAUGGCUUUUAAUCUCUUUUCUCACAAAUCAUACUUGUGUUGAAUUUUUUUUCUCUCCUGACUCAGACAUACCCCUUAAUUUCUCUUACUAAUCGGGAUCAUCCAAAUUAGGAAUAAAAAUUAAAUCAACUGGAUUACAUUUUAGAUUAUGCUCGAAUUGCCCUUGAUUCAAUUGUUGAUUAACCAGUAAGUUCAUGUUUGAGAAUGGAUAAGGUUGUCCAGCUAUAUGCCAUAGAUACAUUAGUUGAGGAGCUUGAGCCUGGGGUGGUAUAUUCCCCGGUGGGCAAAAUGGCUCUUUUCUAGCAUUGUUAUUUUCUCAAGGUUGAUUUUCCUCUCUUGUAGUAAAGCUUUAGCAACACCUUUCCCUUUGGCCAUGCCUCCCAUUAACUCUCUCAGCUCUAUCAUUUGUCUUCACAUAUCUUCUUGCAUUUCAACCAUCUGUUCUUGCAUAUCUUCCUAAGCUUUUUCCAUUCUCUCUAUCAUGGUUACCUGCUCGUUUUCCAUAAUUCUAACUUGUAAUUGUGUAUUGUACGGGUGGUGAGUAGACCAGUUUCAAACUUUCAAUGGCUGAGCUAUCCUUAAACCUUUUAUUACCACAAUUUGAAAAAUUAGGAUGCCAUAUUAUUUUUAUGAAAGCAAAAUAAUUUUUAUUUUAAUUCAAAAAUCAUCAUUUUAAUGAGGUAAAAUAUUGAGAAAAAAUAUGCAAAAUUUAUGCAUCAAUGCAUUGAAAGGUAUUUACUCCAAGAUAUAUCUCAAACAUAAGAACUUUUUAUUGAUUUUGAUAACUUUUUUAUUACAGAGAGUCUAUCAUUUUAGCAUUAUAGCCAUAGAAACAUUUAAUUUGCUUAUAGUGAUCAUUGGUUUCAACUAAAAAGUUCAACAAACAUUGCUUAUAACUUCCAGUUGGAUUGAUUUCCUAUAUUAAAGCUUCCACUCUUUCGACCAUCUCCCUUGCUUUCUUUACUACUGUGCUAAUUUGACUAACCAGAUGCUCUAUGUAUUGUUGUUUUCCUAAACUUUUCGCCUUCCAUUUCAUACGAGCAUCCAUUUUAAGAUCGCAAAUGUAUCUCUAAUAUGUUUUUUAUUUUGCCAUUUUUUGAUGAUUGUGGAAAUAUGGCCUUUGUGGUUUUGCAAUUGCUAUUCCAUCUCUUGAAUUACUUGAUAAAGUGAUCCUUUCUCCUUUUGCAUUUCAUGGUGUUUUCUUUUUUCAUCUUUAAUCUGUGCCUUUAAUUUAUCAUUCUUUUUUUGACAUUCUAUAAACUUGUUGAAGUUGUUAAGCAUAAACCUUCCCACUCUUGUUGUUUUCGAGAAAUCUUGAUGGUUUUUUUUCUUAUUUUCCUUGGCUUUGUCCUUCAAAUGUUGCAACUCUUCUUGAAGCUCAAUUAUUUCCUUUUGCUACCUAAUACCAAAUUUAGUGCUUUUCCCCUUUUUUAAUUGGUUUUCUUUUUCUUGUUUUCAUGAUGCAAAUCCUUUAAAUCAUUUUAAGCCACAUCCUGAUCUUACUUUUUAAGUCUAUUUUUUUGAGUUUCCACUUCAUAUUUUAGUUGUCCCAUCUUUUCUUGGAGUAUCAAAUUUUCCUUUCCCAAUUUCUCUUUUUCUGCUUCAAGUUUUUGCUUGACAAUGGUUCUUUUGCCCAUAGGUUCACUUGUUGGAAUAAGAAAUCAUCUGGAAGGAGCACAAUAUCUCUAAAACACUUUGUCUUCCAAAUCAAGUAAUCGAGGGUGACUUUUUCAAGAAUAGGUCCUAAUCUUAGCCUUCGAGUCUUUUUCCAUACUUGAACUGACAACUCCACUAUUCUUGAUGACCCUACUUCUCCAUAAGCAAAUUCUACUAGGGUAAGUCCAUGCGUGCUGGGACAAACUGUUUCGCACCAAAUUGCGUUAACACCAUUAGUGGAGCGUAACUUACCACUCUCCACGAUUCCAAAAUCAGUACCCAUGGGUCAUUUCCACCCUGAUAUAACAUUAGCCAUCCAUUUGACCUGAUCACUAGUAAGCCUUCGAAAAAAUGCUACCCACUUUUUUUUGGAUCUCAAUGUUGGCCAUUGACUCUUUUAAAAUUAUUUGACUAGGGUUUUAUUUCGAAGAUACAGCUUGACAAAAGCAUUUUUUUUGCAUCUGAAAUGGCUUUUUAUCUAGACAAACAGUAACUGUGCAUUCCCUGUGAAACAUCUUUCAUUUCAAUGAUAAAAGUUCAAUGAUUUGAUAGUCCUAGCUAUGAUGGCAGGAAUAGGAUUAAUCGUCUGACUUUUGAUUUGUUCUAAUAGAUCAACUACUACUAAUUCAAUAUAUCCUAAAGUUUUUGGAAAGAUCACCAUACCAUAAAUUAUUAAGGCGAACGCUGCCAGGCCUUGAUCAUCUUCUAAGCGUCCAAAUAUGAAAUCAUGAAAGAAAUGCCAAGGUAAGUCGACACCUUUACCUUUAUCUUUAGUCAAAGCAUCCAUGGCCUCUUCCUUCAUUCCCAUUAAUUUAGCUGUCUUUGAAACCCUUGAACCAAUCGAUCCAUACGAGGAGGGGAUGAUUGGUUUCCAUGAAAUUUGCAUGAAAAAUCUUUUUAGCCAAAAAGUCAAUCGAUUCCCUUAAGAGGGGAUCAAUUCCCUUUAUGCUACUUUAUCCAAUCUUAUUUUUAAAUCAUGCAAGAUGAAUUUGAACAUUUCUUGACUGGAUUAAAAGCUUAAUAAGUAUUCAAAUUAAGUUCAAAUCAUUUUAAUUCAAUUUUAGCAAAUUUUUGUUUUGUCAUUUCAAAAUGUUUUAACAAUUCAAGGCUAACAAUAUCUCCCUCUUUGAUAUGACAAAACCAAUAGUUAAAAAAUUUGCUUCGAAAACAAUUUUCUCUUUUAAGAAAGCUCCCCCUGAAUUUAAGCAAGAUCAAUAAAAUUAAAGGGCCAAUUUUACAUCAUGAACAUAAUAAAGAUAUAAGGUAAAGGUCUCCUAAGCAAUUAAAAACUUAUCAACUAGUAAAAUAAUAAUUUAGCAACAACUUUUCACUAGCAAAUUUUCACACAAAUUUUCACAAUACACAAACAAACUUCCCCCCUUUUUGUCAUAACAAAAAAAAUCCAAGAGCAAGGUAACAAUACUAUAACCAAUGUAAGAUCAACUUGCUCAAUCAAUUCACGGCAACAAUAUUAUACUAAACACAAGGCCAAUAUCAUUGAAUGUCAAUAUUUUAGCUCAUCAUAGCAUCAUAAUAUCAAGAAUGAGAAUAACCACAAUAGCACUUUCAUAGCAACAUAAUCAUGUAUAAUAAACUUUGAAUCUUAAAACCACACAAACAAGCAGAGAAAAGUUCAUGCCAUUAUAUGCAAAGUACCAAAGUUGAUGCUACAAUAAAUUGUCUUAAAGAAAAUUAAAAACUUAAAAAAAAAUAAAAGAAAGACAUGUAGGAAAAACAUUUAAGCUUGGUUCAAAGAUAGGUUAAGGUGGAGGAGGAUAGGGAGGAAAAUGAUGAAAAUGUUACUCCAUUUGCUCUUGUACAAUUCGGCUAUGUCCAAUAUUAGUAAUAACUUGUUGAAUUUGUGAAACCAUCUCAUUUUGAGUUAGUUUCAUGUUUUCUAAUCUAGAGUUCAUAUCCCCAACCAAUGAGUGUAAACUAUUCAUCUGAGUUAUAAAAAUUUACAAAGCUCCUUAGGUAUCAAAUAGUAUACUAGAAUGACCUUCUUGAGGAAUAUCUUGUGGAACUUCUUGUGGAAUAUCUUGAAUCUCAUACUCUUCUUCGUGCUCAACUCUAAGUUCACUUUUCUUAAUCCAUACUCCAAUAAUAUUUUAAGUGUAUCUUAUAUUAUGAAGUGUGUGAACUCAAUAAUACAAGUAGGAUCGGAACACAAUCUCUCUAUCACUUCUAGUAUUGAUACCCACCUUCCUAAAUAGAUUGCUAAUGGUUAUCUUAUAUACCAAGGUGUAUUUCUUAUUUUGAACAACCCUUAUCAUAUCAUUAAAAAUGUAAAUGCAUGAGAUUAGGUUUCUCCUCAUGUUUGAUUUUAUACAUCUACCAAUAAUCUUGUUUUCUAAUGAUGGAGUAUUGGGUACCAAAUGGUGCUAACACAUGUGUGACGAUAAGAUGAAGCAAUCUAUCAUGCAUAUUUAAUCUAGAAGCUUGGAUUGGAGCAACCAUCAAAUCACCAUUCUAAAAAAUGUCCUGGGCCAAUCCAAGCAUAUUGCAUCUAGUGUUUGUGUCUCUAUUAUCUUUUAACAUGAAAGUUUCAGCUAAUAAGUUCUUGUCCACAAUUAUUUCUCUACCAAUCAUAAAUGUCCUAAAUUUAUCAGUAUAGUACCUAUUUCUAUGUCCAUCAACUUUAGUACAGUUUGCAUUACUAUAAAAUACCCUUACUAGAUUAUCAAAGACAAUGCCAUCCAAACUAAAAUAGUUCAUCCAACCAAAAUUCUUAAAAGCAUGAAACUAUGGAAAUCCAAUAGAUUGAGGGAAAUUUAGAUUGAUUAUCCUUCCUUUCUUAACUUCUUUAUGAGCAAAAUGAGUCUCGUAUAUCUUUUUUACUAUAGGAUUUUUGAAUUUUGGUUGAAGGAAAGCUUGACUGAAGAACUAGAGGCUUUCCUUAGUGGAUUUCUUCUUAUGGCAAGAUGAGGUCUUGUUUUAGGUGCCAUGGAAAUAAUGGGAUAGUGAAAAUAGGUAGGCUUAUGUGAAAUUGAUGAAAGAAUUUGUGAAUGUAGGUGACAAGUAGUAGAAUAUGUUUGAAAGAGGUAAAAAAAUUGAGUGAAUGAGGUAGUUUCAAUAGAGGCACAAAAAGGGAUCAAAUUCAUAAAGUGAAAAGCAUGAAUGUAGAUCUUUGAGUGAUUUGAAGGAUUUUAAAGAGGAUUUUGCAAGAAAUCAAAUAGAUAUGAAGUAAUUUGCAAAAUAUUUUGGUUGUAAAUGACCAAUUUUGAGAGAAAAUGAAGCGUGAAUACCUAGAGUUUUGGAGAAAAAGUUUUAGGAAGAAAAAAAAAGACUAUGGUUAACCAAAAAAGAAGGAAAGUCCAAAUUUUAAGUGGUCAAAAUGGUGCACAUAAGGGAUAUUGUUCAUGACCUGAUUGAUUGGGUAGUAAGGGGAUCCAUUGGGGAAGGACUUGACAAACCUGGGCAAGUAGAUUGAUUAGGUCUAAAAGGGAUCGAUCGGGUUUAACUGUUUUCAACAUUAUUUUGGCUACUAGAAAGAAAACCAAUCAUCUGUUGUGUUUGGGAUCGAUCGGUUCACUUGUAGCAAAAAAUUUUUUUUUAAUAAAUUGAAUUAAUUUUUUUUAUUUUAAAAGCAUGCAAUAUAACUAUUCGAAUAUGCAUCAUAUAAUUACAGAUAUAAUCAUAGACAAGAUUUCAAAAAUAUAUCAAGAUAAACAGACAUUUGGUCAAACAAAGUACAAAUAUAUCAAUUUAUAAAAAAUUUUCAUGAGCAUUCAUCAUACCAAGUUUUAUCUUUAUUAAAAGGUUUUGUAAAAAUAUCAGCUAGCAAGAUAUCAACAUAUUUAGCACAAUAUCAUUCUUUUGAACAUAAUCUCUAAUGAAAUGAUGCCUAAUUUUAAUAUGCUUAGUUCUUGAAUGUUGAAUUAGAUUUUUAGUGAGAUUGAUGGCAUUAGUAUUAUCACAUUUAAUGGGAAUGUGAUCCAUCGUAAUUCCAAAAUGCUCCAAUAUUGUUUAAUCCAUAAAACUUGAGCAUAAUAACUACCAGCCGCUACAUAUUCGACUUCAGUUAUGGUUUGAGCAAAAUUAUUUUGUUUCUUGAAAAACCAUGAUAUGAGCAUAUUUCUAAAUAAUUGACAAGUACCGAAGUGCUCUUUCUAUCAAUUUAAUAACCACUAAAAUUCGCAUCGGAAGAAGCAUGCAAAGUAAAAGAUGAACUUUUUGGAUACCAUAAUCUUAAGUUACGAGUGUCCUUAAGGUAUCUAAAAAUUCUUUUAACAGGAUUCUCUAGGUGAUGAUUGAAAUCUAACACAUAAGCACACACUAAACAUUAUAUCUGAUCUUACUUGCAAUAUGAUAUAACAAUGAACCAAUUGUAGACCUAUAUAAUUUGAAAUCAAUACAUUUACCUCAUUCAUCCUUGUCAAGUUUUGUUUAAGUGCUCAUAGGUGUUGAGUAAGGCUUUGAUUCUUUCAAUCCAAAUCUUAUGAGCAAGACUUUGAUGUAUUUAGCUUGAUUGAUGAAGGUACCAACUUUUAUUUGCUUUAAUUGUAAUCUUAAGAAAAAUAUAAGCUCUCCCAUCAUGCUCAUUUCAAAUUUACCUUGCAUAGUCUUAGUAAAUUCUUGACAAAGAACUUCAUUAGUAGCACCAAAUAUAAUAUUAUCAACAUAAACUUGCACAAUAAGAAUGUACUUUCCUUUAGUUUUAAUAAAAAAUGUAGUAUCAAUAUUCCCUUUAUUAAAACCAUUUUCAAUUAAAAAUUUUGACAAAUUUUCACACCAAGCUCUAGGGGCUUGUUUUAAACCAUAUAAAGCUUUUGUCAAUCUAUAAAUAUGAUUUGAAAAUUGAAGAUUUAAAAAUCGAAGAGGUUGCUCUACAUAUACUUUUUCAUUUAUAAAAUCAUUUAAAAAUGCACUAUUGACAUCCAUUUGAAAAAGCUUGAAAACUUUGAAACAUGUAAAUGCAAACAAUAUUCUAAUGGCUUCUAACCUUACAAUUGGGGCAUAGAUUUCAUCAUAAUCAAUUCCUUCUUAUUGACUACACCAUUGAGCCACCAUCCUAGCUUUCUUUCUAACAACAUUGCCAUGCUCAUCCAUUUUAUUUAUAAAAACCCAUUUGGUGCCUAUAGUAGGAUGAGCAUUAGGCCUAGGUACAAGAUUCCACACUUGGCUUUUUUUAAAUUAAUUCAAUUCUUUUUGCAUAGUCAAUAUCCAAUGAUCAUCUCUUAAGGCUACAUCUAUAUUCUAGGGUUCCAUAUGAGAGAGAAAAGUAAUAUAAUUACAUACAUUGUAAGAAGAUCUAAUUCUUACCCUUUGAGUUAGAUCACUAAUAAUCUCACUAUUUUUGACAUACCUCCUUUCUCUAUAAUGAUUUGAUUCUUACUCUAUUUGUUGUGGUUCCUCUAGAAACUCAUCAUCCUCCUUUUGAGUGUUCUCUUCAAUAUCAUGUGAUGCAUCAUUGAUAUAUUCUUGAAGUAUACCUACAUCAUUAUCAUCAAGAGACACCUUUCUUGGAGGUGGAUUAGAUUCAUUGAAGAUAACAUGUAUAGACUCUUCAACAACUAAUGUUCUUUUACUAAAGACUAUAGGCUUUGAAAUUCAAAGAAUAUCCUAGGAAAAUGCCUUCAUCACUUUUUGCAUCAAAAUUUUUAAGAUUAUCUUUUUCAAAGCAAAACAUUUGUAACCAAAAAGAUGAAAAUAACUUAUGUUAGGCCUUUUUCCUUUAAAAAUUUCAUAGGGAAUUUUCUUCAAGAUUGGCCAAAUCAUAGCUCUAUUUAUAAUAUAAUAAGAGGUAUUUAUGGCUUUUGCCCAAAAAUAUCUAGAUAAAUUAUUUUCACAAAGCAUGAUUCUAGUCAUUUCUUCUAAAGUUCUAUUUUUCUUUUUUACUAUCCCAUUUUGUUAAGGAGUUCUGGGAGCAGAAAAAUUAUGGCAAUACCAUUUUCACUACAAAACAUAUUAAAGCCAAAGUUUUCAAAUUCUUUUCCAUGAUCACUUCUAAUACUAGAAAUUGAAUAACAUUUCUCAUUUUGUAUUUGUUUGCUAAAAGUGAUGAAUUUUUUCAAAGCUUCAUUCUUUGAAUACAGGAAGAGAACCCAUGUAUAUUAGUAAAAUCAUCAAUAAUAACAAACUCAUAUUAUUUUCCAUCAAGGCUUAUUGUUCUAAUAGGACUAAAAAGAUCAAUAUGAAGUAGUUGAAAAAGUUUAAUAGUUGAAAUACAAUUAUUAGGUUUGAAAUAAAUUUUUCUAUGUUUUCCAUAAGCACAUGCAUCAUAAACCUUAUCAUUUUCAUAUUUUAAUUUUGGUAAACCAAUAACCAAAUCAUUUUGAGAAAGUUUUGAAAUUACAUGCAUACUUGCAUGUCCAAGUCUUCAAUGCCAAAUCCAACUUUCAUUUUCUUUUUAAGCUAUAAAAUAAUAUUUUUAGAAGAUAGAUCAUCCAAAUGCACCACAUAAACAUUUCCUUGAUGAUGUCCAAUAACAAUAACUUUGUUAGUCUUGAUAUUAAUCACUUGACAACGCAUAGAUUCAAAUACAACUAUAAGUCCUUUGUCACACACUUGACUAAUACUAAGUAAGUUAUGCUUGAGUCUUUUCACAAGUAAAACAUUUUCAAUAAUAAUAGAAGAAUUGUUACCAAUGGAGCAAAUCCCUUCAAUUUGACCUUUGGAGUUGUCUUCAAAUGUAACAUCUCCUCUACUUUUAGCCUUUAAAUCUCUAAAUUAAGCCUUAUCUUCGAUCAUGUAUUUUAAGCAUCCAUUAUCAAGGUACCAUGGAUUAUUUUUGCUUAAAUUUACCUUGUAGCAAUGGUAAUCCAUUUACAAGAACAUAAUCAAAAUUUUGUUUUGGGUAACCAAAUUUUCUUGGGUCCUUGACUAUUAAUACUCACAAUUUUUGUAUCUUUUAGAUUACACUUCACCCUAGUAAUCUCAUAUUGAGAUGUACUUACUUCUUUUGGAAUCCACACACUCUUAAUGAGUUUAUCUUUAUAAGUGACUUUCUUCAAAGAACAAUAUUGUAUAGAAUAACCCAAUUUAUGAUAAUAUGUAUAUGUGCUAGAUGAAUCAUUCAGCUUAACAAAAAAAUUCUUCAAAUGAAUCUCUUUGUCACUAUUAUUAUAGCCUAAUCCAUCUUUAUCAAAGAAUGGUAUUUAUGUUUCAAGCAUGUUAUUAAGUUUUUGAUGUCUCAUAUAAAAUCUAGAAAAUAAGUUAUCCAAAUUCUUAUUUUUCUUAGUCAAAUCAUCAACAUUCAAUUUUAAAAACUGAAUUUCCUUUUCUAAGUCAUUCUUUGCUUUAAUUAAAAGCUCAUUUUGUACCUUCAACUUAAAAAUAAUUUUUCUAUACUUCAUGUUCAUGAUUUUAAAUUCUAUAGCUAAUUCAUCAAAAGUAUCUUGUAAUUCAUCAAAUGUGUUUGAAUUUAAAUCAUUUGAAUUAGAUAUUACCUUGGGCUUAUCAAGGGCUAUGAGACAUAGGUUGGCUACUUCUUCCUCAUUUGAUUCAUUAUCGAAGAAGUUACUAUCACUCAAUGUUAUAACCUUUGCUGUCUUCUUUGGCUUCAUUAUGUUUUACUUCUUUCAAAAAGGAUAAUCGAAUUUGAUAUGACUUAGUUUGUUACAUUCAUAGCAAACAAUUUGAUCCUUUUCUCUUCUACUUGAUUUUACUUUUAUCAUUUUCCUUUGUGAUCUUCUUUUAUUUGAGAACUUGUUCAUCUUCAUAAACUUUUUAAACCCUUUUACAAACAUGGCCAUUUCUUGAUCUUCAUCAAUCUCAUCUUGCUCAAGUUUUUCUUCAUCUUUUUGAAAGGUUGAGCGAUACCACUUUUCUUGAUUGAUUCUUAUCCUUUUUUAAGCUUCAUCUCAUAGGUAAGGAGAGAGCCCAUGAGUUCAUCUAAAAAAAGUGUAUGAGGAUUUUUGGACUCUUCAAUGGAUGUCACCUUAACUUUUCAAUUUUUUGGUAAACUAUUUAUAAUUUUCUUCACUAUCUUCACAUUUGAGUAAGUUUUCCCAAGAGCCUUCAAAACCAUUAAUGAUGUCGGUGAAACGAUUUGACAUCUCACUAAUAGUUUCUUUUGAUUUCAUUUUGAAUAGCUCAUAAUCAUGAGUAAGCAUGCCAAUUUUGAUCUGUUUCACUUUCUUAGUACCUUUAUGAAUAAUGGUCAAUUUGUCUCAAAUUUUCUUUACAUUUUCACAUAAAGAAACUCUAUUGUACUUAUUAGACCCCAAUGCACAAAAAAAUGUAUGCAUUGCUUUGCCAUUAAGUUAAGCCAUCUUCAUAUCAUUGGUAUCCCAUUCACUUUCUUGCUUGACCACUUCUCUACCAUCCACCAUCUUCAUUGAAAUUUGAGGAUUAAUUUACAAUGACCCUUUAAACCUCAUAGUCAUUGGCUUGAAUAAACAGUUUCAUCAUAGUUUUUCAAUAUAAGUAGUUGUCACCAACAUAAAAAGAAUGUUUUACAAUUGAAUGGCCUUCACUUUCAAGAGAUGUAGUAACCGUUUCAUUUAUCAUGAGAUACAUUUCUUAUUACCCACUAUAUUUGUUGUAGCUUGAAGAUGGUUGUUCCAUAUUGACCACCAUACCUCGUUGAGUCAUUUUAAGAUCACUGUUAGAUUGAUAAACCUACAAAAAAAAGAGUAUUAGCUUUGAUAUCAAUUGUUAGCUCAAAGACUUGGAUUAAAUCAAUAGGGGAUGAAUUGAUUGAUAAUAAGUUUUUGUAAAUUCAAUAUCCAACAAGCACAAAGAUCACAAAUUAGUUUUUCUAAGCAAGUAAAUAUAACAAAUAUGAGUACUAAUAAUCUUAAAAACAAUAGAUAGAGAUAAAAAAUCAAGCAUCGAAAUUUAUAGAGGUUCAGCCCUUCCUUUAGGGACCUAUAUCUUCUCCCUUAGCCUCACUUACCAGGGAGUUCAAUCCACUAUGUGUUGAAAGUUACAACCUAGCUCUUCAAAGCUCUGCACAAUUAACAACACAAUCUUUUAAGGGUUGUCCUCCUUCUUAAGCUUAUAACCUCACAUUACAAGUUUUUAAAGUAUUUUACAAACUCAAAGAAUCUCUCUAAGGUUGGGAUGUUUGCUAAUUUGAAGAACAAAUCAAGAUUAGAAAGAAUAUCAAGAAAAAAUCUGAUACAAUAAGAGUUUUUGCACUUUUUUCAUACUAAAAGGCUUUUUAAUGCUUGGUGAAAAUGGUAGAUGAAAGCAAUAAGUUUUCUUGGCUCUUGGUUGCUUCAAAUAUGGUGAGAGAUCUUCAUUUAUAUGGUGAGAAUGGAAGAUAGUCGUUGCUUGCAUUAAUUGUUUAGAGCCUCUUCAAAUUUUCAAACAAAAAUAAUUGUUGCAAGCAUUUUAGGCACGAGGGGAUCAAUCCUCUCUUAUGGGGGGAUCGAUUGGUUCAGUUAAAAUUCAAACAAUUUUAUGCAUGAAAAGGCACAACCAAUCGAUCCCUUUUUCAUGUGAUCAAUCCCUUAAUUUGGGUGAUCGAUCAUUUCUCAAAUUCAAAAAAAAAAAUUUCAUUCUUUGUAAAAAAACUAAUGGAUCUCUUCAUGAGGGGAUCGAUCCUGUCUUUAAAACCCUUAAAACAAUCAAUCCAUACAAGGAGGGGAUCAAUUGGUUUUCAUGAAAUUUGCAUGAAAAACCCUUUUGGCUAAAAAAUUCAAUCGAUCUCUUUGAGGGGAGAUUGAUCCUUUAUGUGCUACUUUGCUCAAUCUUAUUUUUAAAUCAUGCUAGAUGAAUGUGAACAUAUUUUUGACUAGAUUAAAAGCUAAAAAAGUAUUCAAAUUAAGUUCAAAUCAUUUUAAUUCAAUUUUAGCAAAUUUUUGUUCUGUCAUUUCAAAAUGUUUUAACAAUUCAAAGCUAACAAUGUCCUAUUUAGGAUUUUCUAACACAAAGGAAGACAUUGCACUAACCUAAGUUCGGACCCUUAGGGUUUAUUUACAUGUUAGGUUCAAAUAUUUGAUAAUCUAAAGGUUCCUAAAUUAUUUCUUAUAUCAUUAUCCUUUAUAGACUGUAGGGCAUCUCAAUGCUCACAUAUUAGGCUACAAGUAAAAAUGGUUCAAUUUAAGUUAAAAUAUAUUUAACUUACCAAAUAAUUUUAAUAUUGAAAAAUUUUCUUAAAUUACUCCAAUAUUUUGGUAAUAAUUUAAAAAUAUUUUCUCAUUUCAGAAGUAUUCAAAAAGACUAUUUGUUACGUUUUGAAAAAGCUUCAUCAUCUGAUUUCUUUAAUUUUACUUGUGAUAAUAAAUUCUAUAAACAUGAUUUAUUAUUAGAAAUAUCUUUUAAUAUGUUAGUAAGAUUUUUUGUCAAAAAUUAUUUUUUAAUAUGUUAGUAGGAGUUUAUGAAAAUUAUUUUUUAAUUUUUAAAAGAAAAAAAUCAAUUAAAAUAAACUAAAAUUAUCAUGAAAAAUUAUCAUGCAAAUGAUGCAAUAAUAUAAAUAUCAUGCAAUAAUAAUAUAAUCAUGCAAAUACUAAUAAAUAUAUUAAUAAUCAUGCAAUGAUCAUAAUCAUAUAAUAUAUCAUAUAAUAAAAAAAUCAUAUAAUAAUAUAAAAUAUCAUGCAAAAAAGUUUUAAAUUAAAGUUAUUUUCAUCUUUUUUUAAAUUAAUCACACAAUAAUAAAAUAAUAAAAAAUAAAAAAUAAAGGAAAAUAAAAAUAGAAAACAAAAUAAAUAAAGAUCAAACCUACAAGGUCAGGCCGGUUGCAAAUUGUUGCGUGGUUCACUUUCUAUUGGCUUUAAAGCUUUAAUUCUUUUAGCUACCAAAAAUGCUGUUGUUUGGAGCUCAGCAACAAAACACUUUUUCGCGUUGCUGUGUAGCUUCAUCUUUAUCCUUUCUGUAUAGUCAAACUUCCAAACCACUAUCUACCAGGCAAACAAGCCAGCUAAAACCUAAAACCAGCCAAACACUAGAUCUAAAUCCUAGCAGAUUAACACUGUCACCACCGCCUUCUCCUUUUCGUCAUCGAUCGAAACCCAGCUGCAACCCAGUCCUCUGCGAGACCUUGCCACUACUUAGUGUUGUCGUAGCUGACGCCAAAGACCAGAAGAGCAGCCUGGCUCAAUUCCUUUUUUUCCUCUUUCGACCCGAAAUCCAGCAAAAAAAUUUUUGCCCAAUUUUUGUUUCUUUGCAAUUUCUGGCUGUUAAUUGGGUUGUUUGUGAUGCCGAAUUGCUUGAAUGUUCACCUUCUGUUUGAUGAUUGUUUGAUCUUGCUUUUGUUUGUAGGUUGGCUAGAAAUUGAAUUCGGGUUUUCUGAAUUUGUGAAAUUUCUACUUGUGGUCAAUUUCAGUUUGGAGCUACUAGGUAUGGUUUGAAUUUCUGGGUAGGAAUUUCUCGAUUCUCUGGGUUCUGGUUAUCUGGGUUCUUGGGAAUCUGGUUUUUUGGGUUAAUUGAAUUUUAUUGUGUCGAUUGUCUGAGUUGAGGCUCACUGGGGAUUUUGAUUUUGGAGAAGUGUAUGGGCAAAGGUAGAUGAUGAGUGUGACUGGUAGCUGGUCUUCUUGCUUGUCCUCCUUUUGUUACCUCCAAAGACUUUGCUUGAAAUUGCUUCUUUGUCGCUGCUGUUGAUUGCUUCUUUUUUCUUCUAAAUCCCUUUUUGGAUUGCUGUUGACCUUUGUUUUGGCCUCUUCUGGAUUUUUUUUCUGCUUCUAUUGACUAUUUCUUCGAUUUAUUUUUGUCUCUAGCCUUUGUUUGUGACUCUGUUUGCUGGUUUCGGGUUUACUUGUUUUUUCAGUUUUCUUGGAUUUAUUGAUGAACCAAAGCUUCUAAGGUUUGAGGAUAGGUUUGUUUCAUGGAUUUUCUGUGUAUCCUUUUCCACUGUCCUACCGAUUGCCUUUCUGUUUAUAGGAAUUGAAUCCCAUUUAAUUUGGAAAGAAAAAUUACCCGAAUAAAUGUGAUUUGAUUUUUGUUGAUUUGAUUUUGCAUGAAUUAACCCCAGAAUCAUCAAAUUAUGAAUUCCCAAAUUUGGUCCAAGAUUUGUAUCCGUAAGUUUCUUUUUCACAAUAAUCCCAUUUUUUCUCUGAUUUCCUUUUUUUGCUUUUUUUUUUUUUUUGAACUUUUGACCUAUUGAAAAAAAAAAGUAACAGGAAGUCGAAAAUAAAAUCAAAUUAAAAAAUUCUUAUUGGGUUCAAAGUUUCACAAUUAGGCUUAAUUUAUGGCCAAAAACACGUUUUGAUUCUAAUAAAUCAUAAUUUAAUAAUAAAUUAAUAUUUAGUAAUAAAUUACUAAAAAUAUAAUAGUAAAUUAUUAAUAAUAUAAUCAUAAAUCAAUAAGAAUUUAAUAGUAAUUUAGCUAUCCAUUAAUAAUUUUUUAGUAAAUUAUUAAUAAAUUAGUAGUAAUUCAGUUAAAAAUUUAUAAUAAAUUUUUAAUAAAUU
rnacentral:lncRNA from 1 species